rnacentral:lncRNA from 1 species
ACACAUACACAAACUGAAAAUAUCAAUGUAUUUAUUAUGAAUAUACAAGAGUGUGGGAUACCACUGUUACUGAUUGAAAAACACACCAUUCCUAUCAAUUUUACAAUAAAGAACACAUCUAUGGAGAAUAUUACACCAUAGCAUUUACAUCAAUUCAACCAAAGAAAAAGAUCUUCUAAAUGCUAUUACAUUUUUCUAUAUAUCAAUGUAAACUACAGUUAUUUGCUUUUUCAUCCAACCAAAGAAUUCAGUUGCAACUCAAUUAUGCUUCUUCUGAAUCUGCAAGAAAUAAAUGGACCUUAUGAUUAUGUGAUUAAAUUUAUACAAAUAUAAUUUUGUAAUAUGGAAGAAAAGACUCCAACUUACAAAAGCUGAAGGUCAGGCAAUUAAGUAUCCUGAAGUAAAAGUGUCAUCAAUUCUCUUGCAAUCAGAAACUUACCUUACCAACUCAUUAUCCAGAAUUGAUUCAUCUCUGCACACAAGUGAAAAUUCAGCACCUAACUAAAUAUCACAAACCAUAGUUUCUAGACCAGUACUUCGAAUAGUAGCAGAUGCAACAUUCCGCUGGUUUGGAUAUGUAGUCUUUAAAACUACUUUGGAUGCAACCUAUAUUAUGAUCAAUAUUAUUCAACGACAAUGAUAACAGAAUUUGCAUGAACAAUAUUUCAAUGGAUAUGCAUGACCAUUCACUUACUUAGGGAUACACAUUCAGGCUGCAAGUGGGACUAAUAGAGGAAUGCCCACACCAGCACACAUGUGUUAUGCGGGUGUUUGUGGGCAGCCCACAAUCAACCAUGUUGUGUCUGCUUGCCCAGAUAAUCCCAUUUAAUCCCACAUAGUAGUAAACUACUGCGCUAUUGUAUUAAGAGUUUCGACAGUCACCGAGUGGAUGAUGUGUGGUAAGCAACCACGCAAAAAAGAGUUGAGACAGUUCUACUUAGCUCUUGUACAAAUGAAGACUAACUUGUUGUAUCUGGACAUUAGUUGAACACAGCAGCACAAACACCUAUCAAUCAGGUCAGUACAUGAGCAAGCACAUGCAAAGUGGCCCCCAGUGCAAAGGCAUCAUCAUACUAUUGAGAAAUCAAGAGUAGAGCAUCUGUGUUUUGCUUGUGUUGUGUUGUAUGUGGGUGCUUGUUGUUGUGUUGGGCAUGUGUGUGUGUGUGUGUGUGUGUGCUUUCUAGUACCUAACCAAUGUACCCGCAAGAUGUUUUAUAACAGUACACAUUCCAUGGCAAAGUUAUAAAGAAUAUAAACACUCCUUAUGAAUUGUCAAGGAGCGCGACCAUAUGACUGCAUAAACAUAUACCUGGAAACCAGAAUCCAUGAUUACCGUGGCUUUAAUCAGCAUGGAAUUGAUAUGCAUAAGCCCUUGAGGCAUCGACACUAACCGAGCUUCUCGCAAACAUUCUGUAAGAGUAGAAUGAUAAAUAACUUGAGAAGGAAACAGAUGUACAGCCAAAAGCUAGACUAUAAACAUGCAGUAAAACCACAUAUUCAAAAAAUAUGGAAUUACAUGUAGAACCUAUUUUGCACAUAAUGUAACCAGGAUGGAUACUUGGUAAAAGGUGGUGGUAUCUUACAUUUACCUAAAUAAAAAAGUAACCAGGAUGGGUACUUGGUACAAGGUGAUGCUACCACCCAUUCGAUUAUAUCAAACUAGCAUAUGAGAUUGAGAUGCGAGAUAUAUAAAAAUUAAAAAUGGAAAUGAAUAGAAAAGCUUCUGCUGUAUUUUCAUAGUGAUUAUUGGGAUAUGCUACACUAAAAUAAUCAUACAUCUACUAGAACCCUUACCAUGAAAAGCACUAUGUAUUACACACAUUCCCUGUCAGUAAAGUAGAUGUCCGUGUUGCUCUUCACAAUCUCUACUGUCCAAUCUGAUGUACGUAGUUUGCCGAGUGCAACACUAGGCAAAGGGGCAAGCCUUUGCUGAAGUUGACACUCGGUAGACCUAUUUAGCUGAAUUAAAAAAAAUUGCACAGGUAUUCGCGUAUGUACGGAUAUGUGAUGAGUAUUCAGGUAUGUACAUCUCCACCACGGGAGGAACAACAAGUACUACUAUUAUUACCAGGAGAAUAAAUUAGCAGCGGGCAUGUACCCUCGACGCCGGCCACGCAUCUUGCUCCUGUUUCCUCUAGUACACAUACAAGCAAGCAGCCUGCUGGAUGGAUUAUUGUGGAAGCUAGCUUACAUAUGGGCGAUGGAUCGAUUCCUCGUGGAUGCUAGCAGAUGGACGAGGACCGGUGGCUCCUAUCGCGGGAGGUGCGCACCAUCCAUGCGCUCGUGCUACUCAAGACUCUUCAACUCUUCAUGGCCGCCGAACGGAGAGAUGGCUGCCGACGGCGCCGGCUGGAUCUGCCCAUGGUUCUGGCGGCUGCGCGCUCCUCAUGGCCGCCUCCUCGGGCCUGGUGGGGAGGAGGGAACGUCCCCGAGGCGCACGGUUGCGUCAGCGACCUACAAAGAAAGGGGCGAGCGGCGGCAGCAUGAGGCCCUCAGGCUAGCGGCGGUGACUUGUGGCGGCUUCCAUGGCAAGGCGUGCGUGGAGUAAAUAGCAUAAAAUUACUACUUUACAGGCUAGGGUUUCAAAAAACUAUCGGUUUUUAAUUUUUCUUAGAUAACUACCAAAUAAGUGGUCGGCUGUUUCAAAAAACCCAAAUCGCCGAGUCUUUAUCAGUUGAUCACGAUUACGACAGUUCGGGCCCACAUGUAAGAUAACUGUUUGUUUGGCCGUUUACUUUGACCGUUAACUUACAUGUGAGUCCCACAUGUAAGUUUUUUAAAAAGCAAUCGGGUCCUUGUAAGUUUUCUGAAAAAAGCAAUCGGGUCCCUGUGACUUUUUUGAAAAAAGCAAUCGAGUCCCCAAUGCAGCCAGAGCUCGAUCCCGAUCGGCUGGGCAGUGAUGCUUCCUCCGGCCGGCGAGCCGCGCCUCCAACGGCGGAAUCCACGUCGUGCACAACCUAAGGCCGGCCAGCCGUGCCUGCAGCGGCUGGAUCCAUGCCGGUCAUCGCAUAAGGCCGGCGAGCCGCACCUGCAGCGGCCACACUGUCGUGCCUUGCCUGCGGCCGCCGCCACGCCAUCCCUGCCGCUUCGUCGUGCCUCGCGCUCCGGCCACACCAUGACUUGCGACUCCCCUGCCGACUUGCCUGCGGCCGCCGCCAUCCCCUGCCGCGAGCUCCUCAAGCUCGACGCGACGACCUGCACCGCUCGUGGAGUGCACACCUCUCGUCGCUGCGGACGAGGCUGGCCUCGUCACCACCGUCGCCACCUGGAGCUCCAACGAGCACCUACCACGAUUGUUGGGACGCUGGGGAGGAGAUGGAGGGUCGUCGCCGGCUUGGGAUGGGGGGAGGGGCACCGGCUAAGGGAGAGGGACGAAGGCUUUGGGGGGGUCGCCGGCUUGGGAGGGGAGGGGGUCGCUGGCUCGGGAGGGAGAGGGCCAGCACGGGAGGCAUAGAGGAGGGAAGAAAAGAGAUAGAGAGGAAGAAGAAAGAGAAGAGGAAGAUGGAACUUACAUGUGGGCUCCACAUGUAAGUUAACGGUCAAACUAAGGUCAAACUAACGGUUUGUUUAGGUGCGGGCCCGACCUGUCAUAAUCAUGAUCAACUGAUAGAGACUCGACGAUCUGGGUUUUUUGAAACAGCCGACCACCCAUUUGGUAGUUAUCUGAGAAAAAUUAAAAACCGGUAGUGUUUUGAAACCCUAGCCUGUAAAGUAGUAGUUUUAUGCUAUUUACUCGCGUGCGUGUGAAAGGAUAAGGAGAGAGGGGAGAUAAAGGAUAGGGCACCCACAGGACCGCAGCCGUUGGAUCAACGACGAAUCCAAUGGUUACAACGUGUGAUCCAUGAGAGGGCUACCCUGACCAAUAAAAACGCAUUGUAUUUUUUAGUGCAAUAUAAAUGUUUUCAGGCUCCACAAUUAUAAUAAUAUUUAUUUUCUUUUUUCUUUUCCUUUUCAGUACUUUCUUUCCUUCGCCUUUUCUUUCUUCGGUUCUGUUUUUGAAUAAGGCCUAUGCAAUGAUUAAAGGAUAUAAAUAUGAUUUGUUAACCCAAAAAAUUCCAAACAUUUUAUACACUACAAUUUAAAUAUGAAUUAUAUGCACUAAACGUACAAAAGUAGUUACAAAUCUCUAAAAUCUAUGAUACAUGGGAACUGUCCUUCAAAUAUGGUCUACUUUCUGUGAAAAUUGGAGUGGUGCUAUUUUACACCCACGUUUUGUACUUGCUUAAAAAAAUACCCAUUUUUACACGGAGAAAAUAUAAAAGAUUUUUUCAUACAAAAAUUAGAAACUCUAGUUUUCAACAUUGUUUGUAAUAGCAAGAUGCUCCUACAUGCCCAAUUUGGACACAUUAUCAUAAAAUAUGCAAUGAAUAUGACCAUCAAUUUGAAAAGUCAUGAAUAUUCAUAUAUGACACCUCAUUUUGUGAAGGAUUUUUUCCAGAAUUAUCAUAUGCAGGUUUGGUAUUUUUCCUCAUGACUUGUACACGUAAAAGGACUCAAUGCGAAAGGAUUGCAUUGAUUGAAUUUAUAUUCUUCUUCUUUCUUUUUUCUUCAAAAUGGUGCCAUCAAANNNNNNNNNNNNNNNNNNNNNNNNNNNNNNNNNNNNNNNNNNNNNNNNNNNNNNNNNNNNNNNNNNNNNNNNNNNNNNNNNNNNNNNNNNNNNNNNNNNNNNNNNNNNNNNNNNNNNNNNNNNNNNNNNNNNNNNNNNNNNNNNNNNNNNNNNNNNNNNNNNNNNNNNNNNNNNNNNNNNNNNNNNNNNNNNNNNNNNNNNNNNNNNNNNNNNAGGGGAUAAUGAUGGAUGUGCUAUGUGAGAGAUUCAUCAAUUAUAAUACAUAGGUUUCCCAUAAUCACGGGAUCAUCUGAUCUUAUCGUAUCCCCCAUAAAUAGUUAUGAAACUACCAGCCCACCUACCUAUAUAAGAAACCGCGCCGAGGCUCAUCAAAGCGGGAACAUUGCAGAGGAUCUUGGCAUGUACUCUAGCUCCAAGUAGAUCGAUGCAUCACUAUUUAUAAGACACGUCAAACAACAGCGACAAGGCUACUGGCUAUUGUCAGUGUCACGGGAAACGGGUUGUCCGAAGCACCCUAUAAUUGUGUGCCCUAGCAUGCAAUUGAUCAAACCAUAAAUUUAACUAUGAUGUGGUACGACCAAUGUGAAUUUUACUAUAACAUGAGAUUACAAUCUACUCCCUCCGUCCGGAAAUACUUGUCCUAAAAAUGGAUAAAAUGGAUGUAUCUAUAACUAAAAUAAGUCUAGAUACAUUCCUUUCUAAGACAAGUAUUCCCGGACGGAGGGAGUACUAAUUAAUAUAAAAAACAUUAAGGUUGAAGAAGACUCGCCACUUGUGUCCUUGGUCUACUAUCCCGACGGCUAAAUAGAGCAUGCUUCUCUACCACACGAAAGCUAGCAUCUUUGGUCUGCUAUCCUGCCUGGUUCAACUCUGACCUCCCUUCGCUCCAGUACAACGCUGACCAGAACUCCCUCUGGUUCACCAGUCCAGGAGCAGCCAAGCAGGACAACCUUGAUGCCUGACAGUCACCUACGGACCUGCCUCCACUCCGGACCAAGGCGCCCGGCCGAUGCUGGUAAGAUCCCUCUCUACUCUUUUGUGCCUUCCAUUCUUCUACCAAAAUGGGUUUGUAGGAUCCAUGAUAUGCUCCCCUGAAUCCUGUACAUAUACCACUCCAUGGGGGACGAUUUUAGGUUUCCUACAAAAAAAUAUGUGGAUGGGCCAAGAUGCGGGAUCUGCUAGUCAGUUUUUGGCCCAUACACUGCAUAUCGGUAUGAUUUUUGUGGAUCCGGCAAAUAUGUUGGAUCUGUUAGAGUUGCUCUUAGCUCGGUAUACAAGAGGUAACAUCUAGGUUGCCCCCAGGAUGAGCAUAAAUGUUACUUUCAUGGUUACCUAUAUAAAGGGCUCUUCUUGCCAACAAGCUCCCAAAUUUUACAUCUGAUGUCAAAUGAAACGUCACAUACGACAACAAAAAAUUACAUCUCAUCGUGAGAAACAAUUUUUUUUGACAAUUUUAAUUUGAAUUCAUAUGCAAAAAUAACUGUGAAAUUAUUGAUUCAAUGACAUGCUCCAACGAAUUUGAAUUUUUGCGUUGUUUGAUUUGGAUGUGUUUAAUUUCUAGGGUUAUAACAUAUUAAAAUAUGGAGAGAGCUCAUACACUUCUUGUGGCGCAAGCAACGCCAACUAACGCUGAAGCGCCGUCGGCCGACCAAGUUAAGCGAGGUCGCUCGUCCCAACUCGCUCGCUCGCUCGGCUGUUUCAACUCGUUCACCAUAGACCAGUUUAGAAUUUGAAAAUUGUUCGCAUGUUAAUAUAUGUUUGUGGCUUUGAAAAAUGUUCACGAAUUUGAAAAAAGUUCAUGAAUUUCAAAGAAACGUUUGCCGAUUCUAAAAACAGGUCUGGAAUUUGAAAAAAUGUUCACGAACUAGAAAAAUUCUCAAAUUUGAAAAAGUUCAUAAAUUUUACAAACUCUAAUAAAUUCCAAAACAAUUCUUAAAUUCUUAAAAAUGUUUAUGAACUUGAUAAAAUUUCCAGUGUAAAAAAACACUUAUAGAAAAAAAUCCAUGAGUUUGAAACAAAUCGCGUCAAAAAGUUUCCUUUUUGCGAAAAAUAAAAUUUUCACAGACUCGAUCUUUUUGUGAAUUUGAAAAAAAAUGCGUCUACAAAAAAUUUCAUGAAUUUAAAAAAGAAGUUCUCAGAAUUUUUUAGAAAGCAUUCAUAAUUUUUUUGCAAUUAGCAAAAAAUUCCAAGAAGUUCAGGAGAAAAAUUCACGAAUUUGAAGAUCUUUUUAAAGAAAAUUUAAAUGGAUAAAAAAUAAUAAGAAAAGAAGAUAUAGGAAGAAGAAACCAAAAACCGUAAAAAACUAACAAAAAACUGAUGAAAAAAUCCCAGUAGGAAAAGAAGGGAAUCUGGGUGGAAGCUUCCAGAAGGAAAAGAGGGCCGGAUUCACGGAAACGCAGCCUAUUUUAAUAAUAUGAGACCAUCUAUGUUUCUGAUGGGCCUUGGCGUUGCUCAAAAAUAUCUAAUGGGCCUUGGCGUUGCUCAAAAAUAUCUAAUGGGCCUUGGCCGAGCGUCGUUCCUUUUCUUUAAUAAUAGCAUAAUUAUUUAAAUUAAGAAUAAUAGCGAAUGGAGUACAUUGGUAAUCACUUGUUUACCCGUGCAGGUGGUAGCAGGUUCGAUUCUUGUAGGAAUCAUUUUUAUUCCUCGUUGCAAUAGGAGAACCUCCAACUUCCUUUCUUCCUGUAUUAACUCAUGUUCAUUUUAUUUUGUUCACACAUAUCAAAUAUCCCCCUUUGUUCAUUUUAUUUUGUUCAUGCAUGUCAAAUGGUCCUGGGUUCUGUUGGGAUGUUUAGCCGGUCUCACUUGUUUACAGGCUACAUGUUCUCAAUUUUUGUUCACACAUAUCAAAUAUCCCCCUUUGUUCAUUUUAUUUUGUUCACGCAUGUCAAAUGGUCCUGGGUUCUGUUGGGUUGUUUAGCCGGUCUCACUUGUUUACAGGCUACAUGUUCUCAAUUUUUUUAUAGCAAGAUUAUAUAUAUGUCAUGGAAAAUGUUCAAGACCUUUGUACAUGUACAACCUUGUCAUGGACAAAGAUUGUUGGGAAAGUCAAUUGAGUGAAAAUUUGAACCUAUAUUUGUAAGCAUUGUGGCACUAUUCCUCUUUAUUAAAAUAUGGUUUACACUUAUUGUUUUUUUAAUUAAAGUUAUAUAUCUUGUAACACUAUGCAGCAACACAGGAUUAUGUGUUAUUGUACCAAUAGUUUGUCACACACCUGGAGCAACACGCACUUAUAUGUUACUCUGGCUGGUAACACAUUUUCGAACCUUAUCAACUAUGUGUUACUCUUCGCGCUGCAACACAGACGAUGUGUUACUGCAAUUAUUGUAUGUAACACAUUUUUCUAUAUGUUACAUAAUUGUGUUACUUAAUCUUUGUUUUGUUGUAGUGACAAUGGAAAAUAACAUAAGAAUCAAACAUCAAAGAGAUAACAUGAAGAGCUCACGCAGAUCGACCGCCAUCAUCAAAAGUCGAUUUUCUUCCUCCAAGAACAACUCUCAUCGACACUCUCUCACGUAUAUAUGGUGGACGCUCUCGCUGGUGGUGGUAUAUAUGGUGGACACUCUCUCACGGGUAUUUCAAAUUUCGGUGAUGGUUGAGCUGGGUGAGCCCCUCGUGCGUUAUCAAGAUAUAACAUAAGGAGCUCACACAGAUCAACCGUCAUCGCUCCAAAGUUAUUUUUUCUUCCUCCAAGAACAACUCUCAUCAAGACUCUCUCACGUAUCUCAUCGGUCACAUGCAUAUGAUCAUCACUCGCUCAAGAUAAAAAUUACUACUCCGUCCCACAAUACAAGUCGUUUUUUGACAAACAACAAAAUCUAAUAGAUGCAAACAACAAAAAAUCCAUACAUACAUCCACACAUAGCAUCCAUGCAUACAACAUUAUCAACAAUUAUCUACAUUUUUUCUUUUGAUAAAGAAAAAAUGUAUCUACACGGCAUCCAUCCACCUAUCAACCCAUCCAUCUAUCUAUCCAUCCAUCUAUCUAUGCAUCCAUCUAUCAACCCAUUUAUCUAUGCAUCCAUUUAUCAUGUUAUCUAUGCACACAUGGAGAGGAGGAGGGGGGGGGGCUCACCGGAGGGAGAGCUCGGUGUGGUGGUGGUGGGGGGUGGUGGUGGAGGGGGCACCGUCCGGUGGAGGGGCGCCGGUCGGUGGGGAGCAGAGGAGAGAAGAAACAACAGGGGGAAUAUGCUUAAGUAGUCGACAUCACCUUUACCAACACUACAAGAAAUCUGUUAAUCCAUGAUGGAUUUCUAGUGACGUAUUCGUAAAUCGUCACGGAAACCGUCACGGAAACCGUCAUGGACCAAGAAUAUGUAAAUGGGAUCCAAAACGGUAGCCCUUUUGUGAUGGACAUCGAGGGACCGUCACGGAAACCGUCAUGGAUCAGACACUUGGGCCUAGUCGGGCCUAGAGUUUUUUUUGUUUAUAUUGUAUUGGACCUCAUGGAUAACUCCUGCUGAUAAGUCGUAUAUGUGACCCACAUGUUAGUCAGAUGUAGUCAACAUUAUAAAUACAAGAAAAGAUAGACCAAAACUUACAGAGCGCUGAUACGUCUCCAACGUAUCUAUAAUUUUUGAUUGCUCCAUGCUAUAUUAUCUACUGUUUUGGGCAAUAUUGGGCUUUAUUAUCCACUUUUAUAUUACUUUUGGCACUAACCUAUUAACUGGAGGCCCAGCCCAGAUUUGUUGUUUUAUGCCUAUUUCAGUUUUUCGAAGAAAAGGAAUAUCAGACGGAGUCGAAACGGAACGAAAUCAAUUGAAGAAGUUAUUUUUGGAAGGAAACACACCUGAUGAACUUGGACCCCACGUCAGGGGAAACACGAGGUGCUCACGAGGGUGGGGGCGCCCCCCUAGGGCACGCCCCCUGUCUCGUGGGACCCCCGUGGCUCCUUGGACGUCCUCCCUGCACCCAUAUAUACACACGUGACCUAAAACUUCCAGAACGCAAGAUAGAUCAGGAGUUCCACCGCCAGAAGCCUCCGUAGCCACCAAAAGUCAAUCGGGACCCUGUUCCGGCACCCUGCCGGAGGGGGGAACCCUCACCGGUGGCCAUCUUCAUCAUCCCGGUGCUCUCCAUGACGAGGAGGGAGUAGUUCUCCCUCGGGGCUGAGGGUAUGUACCAGUAGCUAUGUGUUUGAUCUCUCUCUCUCUCGUGUUCUUGAUUUGGCACGAUCUUGAUGUAUCGCGAGCUUUGCUAUUAUAGUUGGAUCUUAUGUUUCUCCUCCCCCUCUUCUCUCUUGUAAUGAAUUGAGUUUCCCCUUUGAAGUAAUCUUAUCGGAUUGAGUCUUUAAAGAUUUGAGAACACUUGAUGUAUGUCUUGCCGUGGAUAUCUGUGGUGACAAUGGGAUAUCGCGUGCCACUUGAUGUAUGUUAAGAUGAUCAACUUGCGGGUUUCGUGACAUUGGGAACCUAUGCAUAGGGGUUGACACACGUUUUCAUCGUGAUUCUCCGGUAGAAACUUUGGGGCACUCUUUGAGGUCCUUUGUGUUGGUUGAAUAGAUGAAUCUGAGAUUGUGUGAUGCAUAUCGUAUAAUCAUACCCGCAGAUACUUGAGAUGACAUUGGAGUAUCUAGGUGACAUUAGGGUUUUGGUUGAUUUGUGUCUGAAGGUGUUAUUCUAGUACGAACUCUAGGGCUGUUUGUGACACUUAUAGGAAUAGCCCACCGGAUUGAUUGGAAAGAAUAACUUUGAGGUGGUUUCGUACCCUACCAUAAUCUCUUCGUUUGUUCUCCGCUAUUAGUGACUUUGGAGUGACUCUUUGUUUCAUGUUGAGGGAUAGUGAUGUGAUCCAAUUAUGUUAGUAUUGUUAAGGGACCUUACACUAGCGAAAAUAUGAACCCUAGGCCUUGUUUCCACACAUUACAAUACCGUUUACACUCACGUUUAUCACUUGCUACCUUGCUAUUUUUAUUAUUUCAGAUUACAAAAACUAUUAUCUACUAUCCAUAUACCACUUGUAUCACCAUCUCUUCGCCGAACUAGUGCACCUAUACAAUUUACCAUUGUAUUGGGUGUGUUGGGGACACAAGAGACUCCUUGUUAUUUGGUUGCAGGGUUGCUUGAGAGAGACCAUCUUCAUCCUACGCCUCCAACAGAUUGAUAAACCUUAGGUCAUCCACUUGAGGGAAAUUUGCUACUGUCCUACAAACCUCUGCACUUGGAGGCCCAACAAUGUCUACAAGAAGAAGGUUGUGUAGUAGACAUCAAGCUCUUUUUUGGCGCCGUUGCCGGGGAGGUGAGUGCUUGAAGGUAUAUCUUUUGAACUUGCAAUCGAGUCUUUUAGUUUCUUGUUUUAUCACUAGUUUAGUUUAUAAAAGAAAACCAUAAAAAAUGGAAUUGAGUUUGUCUCAUACUCUUCACCUCUUAGUUUCUUGUUUUAUCACUAAUUUAGUUUAUACAAGAAGAAAUCUAUAAAAUGUUUGGCACAAAAUCUUUGAAUGAUGAGCAUGAUUGCAAUGUUGUUAGUAUGAAUUCCUUCAAUAUCCAUGAUGCUAAUGAUAUGCAAAGCCACAAGCUUGGGGAAGCUAUGUUUGAUGAGGAUGAUAUUUUUUGUCCCCCAAGCUUUGAUGAGCAAAUUUAUUAUGAUGAAAGCAUGCCUCCUAUCUAUGAUGAUUAUUGUGAUGACACAUAUGCUUUAAGGAAUAAUGAUAACCAUGAAACUUGUCAUCUUGAUCUUAAUUUUCAAUCACAUGAUAGUUAUUUUGUUGAGUUUGCUCCCACUAUUAUUCAUGAAAAGACUUUUGCUUGUGUGGAGAGUAGUAAAUUUUCUAUCCUUGUAGAUCAUGAAAAGAAUGCUUUAGGUGCUGGUUAUAUUGUUGAAUUCAUUCAUGAUGCUACUGAAAAUUAUUAUGAGGGAGGAAUAUAUGAUUGUAGGAAUUGCAAUAAUAUCAAGUUUCCUCUCUAUGUGCUUAAAAUUUGAAGUUAUGCUUGUCUUAAGCGUGGUCCGUGGCCUACCCCCUCUAUCGGUGCCGGUCAACUUCCUAGACCCUGGUCACGGUCAACCGUGGUCCCCAUAAUAAGUGGCUGGCGCCAACAGCAGUGUGCACACAUCCACAUGAAACCUGGGAACCAAUGGAUGGCUGUGAUAAUGGGUACCGUGUACGUUUUGGACGCGACGACAGCCCUGGUGUUGGAUCGUUAAAUCACAGGCAUGACUACUUAUGGAUGAUAGACUUUAAAUCUCCUAGACUCCCACGACAUGUCUUGAUCUCACAUACGAUAUGAUAGACACGAUGCGGAUGAUAUAUUUUUGGAGGAAAAAACAAGCAUUGACCGCAUCGUUUGGUUUCUUUUGCCUUUCCUAUAGGAGUACAUGUGUGUCCAAAGUGUGGCCGCAUGAAACGAUUGUGUUAUUCUGGUCCAAACCGUUAUGUAGAUCUAUUUUUAUAUCUCAGCCAUCAAUCUCUAAGAUUAACACAAAAUCAACGGAUAUAAAGAUGUGACAUAUGGAGAACUAUGAAAGUCUCCGUUCAUUAAUAUUAGGUAAAGAUAAAGAUAUAUAUGCUUUUUGGGUUAGAUUUGUUCAAAACUAAACUUUAAGAGUGUAAAGUAAAAAACAUGAGAAGAAGCAGUUGUUGACCGUGGCCUACCCCCUCUCUCGGUGCCGGUCAACUUCCUAGACCGGCACCGAGAGAGAACUUUAUAGAGUGUAAAGUAAUAAACAUGAGAAGAAACAGUUGUUGACCGUGGCCUACCCCAUCUCCCGGUGCCAGUCAACUUCCUAGACCGGCACCGAGAGAGAACUUUAAAGAGUGUAAAGUAAAAAAACAUGAGAAGAAGCAGUUGUUAACCGUGGCCUACCCCCUCUAUCGGUGCCGGUCAACUUCCUAGACCAACACCAAGAGAGAACUUUAAAGAGUGUAAAGUAAUAAACAUGAGAAGAAGUAGUUGUUGACCGUGGCCUACCCCCUCUCUCGGUGCCGGUCAACUUCCUAGACCGGCACCGAGAGAGAACUUUAAAGAGUGUAAAGUAAUAAACAUGAGAAGGAGCAGUUGUUGACCGUGGCCUACCCCCUCUCUCGGUGCCGGUCAACUUCCUAGACAACAGGGGUCACCGGAUGGCCCAUGCAUAUACAUGCGAUGGCCUCCUUUGAGAGCACGAGAACUUUUGAGGCUAACGGAGCAACAGGACCCGCACUUCCUGCACAAACCAGACACAUUCCCUCUCGAUACCCAUAGACUAUCUCGAAGAACGGGCCUAGACUUGGUAUGUCAUCUCGCGAUGACAUGCACUAACAUGGAGAAUACGUUAUUCAUCAUGGACUACACACUCUCGGUGCCGAUCAAAGCCCUAGACCGCCGGGGCCACCGGAUGGGUGCUCGAUCUAGAGACCGCCCGAGGGGGGAACCCCUACAUGCGUGUGGCCCAUGCAUAUGCAUGCAGGGGUGGUGUGCUAUUUGAAUAAGCAACACACGUCCUUGACGUGGCAUAUGCCUCACAAACCACACACACGGGGCGGGAACGUCAAGGAUGUCCUAUAGAAGCACUAUUCUGAUCCUAGGAUCAGAAUAGUUAUACGGAUCACGGUCGGCCCUAUGUAGCGCGCGGAGGUCUUCCCGAACUCUGAUCCGGUAGGAAAAGAAAAAACUGACUGGCAUCCUCGACUUCCCAUCCUGCGCCGCCCCACCCAUAGAACGCGCCCCCACCACAGGCCCAGCCUGCGCCGCCGCCCCUGCGACUCCGGGCGCCGCCGCACUCGGCAAUCUCGCGACUCACCGUCCCCUGCGACCUCGGUCGCCGCCGCCCUCCCGGCACCAGCACCUGCUCUCCAGCACGCCUCCCGCCGCCACCCCUGUCCAUGGCACCUCCUCUCCGGCCCGCCUCCCGCCGCCACCCCCAGCCCCAGCACCUCCUCUCCGGCCCGCCUCCCGCCGCCUCCUCUCCUUCUCGGAUCCGCCAACAUCCCUGCCAACACACACCGCUUCCCAAAUCCUCCUAACGACUGAGGCCCGGCCAACCACCCUCCGUGGACCAGCUGUGCUGGCGCCACCGUGAAUCCUCACCGCACCAUUGCCCCACCACGCAGGAGAUCCCGUGCAGGUCUGCCCCAUGCUCCUGUAGGUCGACUGCGCCACCGCACGAAGUUCACCGACCAGAUGCUUCGGCUGGAUCCGUCGCUGGUGCGUUGCCUCAGUUAAUCUCCGCCGACGCCCAUACAGCUUCCCAAUUCCGGCCGACCUCAGUGCCGUUGAGCUCCCUUUCCCAUCCGGCUGGGCCUCCUCAUCCAACAUGCAGCCUCGCCGUGGCCAAGAGCGACGCUAACUCCAUCAAAGUCACAGCCGCGUCCGGCUGGACAGCAGCCCACAUGGCAUCGGUGUUCGCACCAGGAACACGCAUGUUGCGGUUGUGGAAUCUUCCUAGGCUCUACAUCGCGCUAUACUUUUGUACGAUGGUAGCUAAGUCAGCGAAUUUCAGUAUGCGGCGACGAUUGAUGGAAUUGAGGAUUCCUUCGUCUGCGCAAUUGUUGCAGAACGCUGAUAUUACAUCCUCGUCAUGGCAAUAUUUUACCUUGUCCUUGACAAGGAGGAAUCUGGCCCAGAAGUGGUGGACCGUUUCCCAAGACAGCUGAUUUAUGCUUAUGAGAGCGUCUAUGUCUGGGUGGGUGGGUGGAAUUAAAUCUGAACCCCGACCUAACUUAUUACCCGGAGUCUGACGACCUUCCGGGCUUAACAGUCCGGGUUCCGUAAUAUCUUCUGAUUGUUUAGGACUACCGUCCGAUGCUAUGUUCGGAGGGCUGGUCGCAUCCUUUCGUGGGUGAGUAUCCGGCUCUUCCUGAACGGCGAUCCGAGCAUAGUCCGUCUUCGAUAUAGAAGAAGACUCACCGUCCUGCUCCACGACCACCACAAUCUGGUGGGUGACCGGUGGGGCCUUGAUUUCUUCUUGAUCGGUUUUAGGCCUGAUCCGAUCGUAGUCUGUGGCGAUUCCCAAAGCGGCGAUGCGAUCUAGGAGUUCAUUCAAAGACGAAAAAUCUGUCGGAUCCAUCUUCUUGGAGUGCUCGGAGUUAAUGCGAAGGGGGUUUUCGAUGGCCCGAGAGGUCAUCGUCCGCUCAACGGCCGAACGGGCGAUCAUAGUAAUGCCGCCCAGCCGGAGGGUUUGGCCUGGGGCCAGAGCUCCCCCGGAGGUGAUGUUGUCUUUAAGGACAAGGCGAGCCAUCGAGCCUUUCAUCGACGACACAGUGAAACUCUCAAUGAAAGCACCAAUGUCGGUGUCAAAACCGGGGGAUCUUGGGUAGGGGGUCCCAAAUUAUGCGUCUAGGAUCGAUGGUAACAGGAGACGGGGGACACGAUGUUUACCCAGGUUCAGGCCCUCUCCAUGGAGGUAACACCCUACGUCCUUCUUGAUUGGUCUUGAUGAAUCUGAGUGUUAUAAGAAUUGAUCUACCACGAGAUCGUAAUGGCUAAACCCUAGAAGCUUAGCCUGUAUUACUAUGGUAAUGAAUAUAUCCUUUCCGGACUAACCCCUCCGGUUUAUAUAGACACCCGGGGGGGGGGGGGUCUAGGGUUACAUAGAGUCGGUUACAUAAGAAGGAAUCUUCAUAGUCGGUCGCCAAGCUUGCCUUCCACGCCAAGGAGAGUCCAAUCCGGACACAGGUACAGUCUUCGGCCUUCAUGUCUUCACAGCCCAUCAGUCCGGCAAAUGGAUAACAUGCCGGACGCCCGAGGACCCCUUAGUCCAGGACUCCCUCAGCGACCUCCAGAUUAACACGCUCUAGACUUUUUUUGUCGCAGGUGAUGGAGAAGCCUGCCAAGGUGUACCUGGGGUCGGCGAGGAAGUUGUGGAAGAUGGUGCACCUUUCAGCGGCGCUCAGUUGGAAGAGAAGCACCGAGUGUUUCUUGCCGAUGGAGAGUUAGCAGAGGGCGGGUUUCUGCAUCGCUUCAGACUCGUUGUUGUACUCGAGAUCAAUGCCGACGAUCUUGUGGCACUGGAGGGUGAGGUGGUGGUCGUACUGCGCGAGGGUGAUCGCCAUCUGCUUCUUGUCAUUGGUGUGGAUGACGUGCAACUUGGUGUUGCCGUGGGCCUCCACACCCUGGUACUCGUGGGCGAACGCCAUGGCCGGUAUUAGGGCUUGGUGUUUUGUGUGUAGAUUGAUGUGAUGGAGCAAUUUGGUGGCAGCAUAAUGGAUACUUGUGUAGUUGUGUAUGAUAAGGCCUUUGGCAGGGGUCUGAAAUUAAGGGGAGGACGCGGGGUGGGAUGGACGCAUCGGAUGAACUACACGAUCUCGCUGACGAUGCGAUUGUGCAGAUCGUGGGUUGGUGUUGCGUUUGUGAUUGUGGGCUUGUGGCGAUGGAACCGCUUCGAUUGGGUGGUUGUAUGUGAACGUGGUUUUAAAUUUUUUUGAUCAGUAAUUUUUUUAACCACCACUUUUUGUGCGAAUGGGCAUUUGUCACGUUUAUAUGUAUCCUCCGUGAUAAUGAAACUGCAUUGGUUAGAGUUCUACACUGCAUCGUCUACAAUAGAGAACUGCAUUUUUGCCUACAUGUGCGUACUUGACAGUUUUUUGCGUGUCCUUGCUGCAGCCCCUGAAUAAAGUACAAUGUAUUCCGCAAUUUUACGAGUUUUUUCCUAUGUUCUAUACCGUGUAUUUAUUCAUGUACGUAAUCCAGAACUGGAUUGCUAUACCGUACUGCUUCGUGUAACGAAAUGCACUGCAUUUUUCUAGUGCUGCGUACUACAUCUAUUUUUUUGCCUNNNNNNNNNNNNNNNNNNNNNNNNNNNNNNNNNNNNNNNNNNNNNNNNNNNNNNNNNNNNNNNNNNNNNNNNNNNNNNNNNNNNNNNNNNNNNNNNNNNNNNNNNNNNNNNNNNNNNNNNNNNNNNNNNNNNNNNNNNNNNNNNNNNNNNNNNNNNNNNNNNNNNNNNNNNNNNNNNNNNNNNNNNNNNNNNNNNNNNNNNNNNNNNNNNNNNNNNNNNNNNNNNNNNNNNNNNNNNNNNNNNNNNNNNNNNNNNNNNNNNNNNNNNNNNNNNNNNNNNNNNNNNNNNNNNNNNNNNNNNNNNNNNNNNNNNNNNNNNNNNNNNNNNNNNNNNNNNNNNNNNNNNNNNNNNNNNNNNNUGUUUUCUUAACAUGCGUGUUGUUUUUGAUUUUAACAUUUUUUUACAAACUGCAUUUAUUUUAUUUUGUUUUACCGUUUGAACUUCAUUGUUUUUCACAGAGAACUGCAUCAUGUGCAUUUUGAUGUAGUCUAUCUUAUUUUAGCCGGGCCGUUUUUGGGUCGUCCCGUUUUGUGUUACCCUUUGCCAGACGCGGGCCUCCUACGUGUCCCUUCUUGGCGAUCCCACUGCUCCGCUAACAGGGAGAGAGAUCGAGAACAAUCCCUUCUCAUGUCUUGAAGUUUCUCAUGAGGCAUCUCUCCCUCGAGCAAAACCAUCGUCGCCCGCAGCAACCGCCAUCGCCCGAGGAGUCUCCGCCCUCAAGAGGUUCUUAUUCCUGCAUUCCGCGUCAUCGUCCGCUCCGCGAGCUCUUGCCGCUGCGCUGCCGCAGCCCUCUCCUGUCCGUUCCCGUCGACGCACACCCCCGCCCCCUCCCCACCAUUGCCGCACCUUUUUUGUGGUACGUUCCGCUUGUCCUCGGUCUUGAUCGUCUCCUCGUCUUGUUUUGUGAUUCUCGUAGUUGUUGUUUCUAUUGUUGCUUGUGUAAUUUUUCUGUAGGCAGUCGAUUUUAUCUCGAUUUGAAGUCGAUACUUUUGUGUAGCAAGGUGGAUCUAGGGUUUCGUGAGAUUUUUGCCGAUUUUGUUGCUUAUAUCUAUCACUUCGUCCUUGUGCUGCAGGCAAACGCCAUGUCUUCGCCGAGCAAAGUGGGAGGAGGAGUUCAGGGUAUGUGGAGUGCUUAUUUUAGGCCUUUGUUUUAUUUUGUUUGAUGUUUAUCUAGUUUCCUAAAUUAUCCUGCAUAUUUGGUUUAUGCUCUGUUAGUUGUCAACGUUCAUUUGCAUUAUUUUGUUAUGUGAUGUUUUGUAAUUUCUUUUUCUGGUUCUUUUUGAAUCCAGUAGGUGAUUGCAAUACUCAUAAUGAUACACCAAUUGGCUCUCAUUGUUCUGGUGGUAAGGAUCAUGGUGUCGAUGGAGGACAUCAAUUGAAUUUACCGAUUGAAACUUCUCCCAUAAGUGUGGCCGCUCCUUCUGGUAUGUGAUUGAUUUGCUUAUUUUGUGUAUGUUGGUUACUUUGAUGUUGUACCAAUUGGCGUUGCCUUGCUGUAUCUAGUCUGGCAUUUUGUUGGUAACAAAUAUGAAGUUAGUGUAUGCAGCACUGCAUUUAUUUUGUAUAUGUGAACUCUACUAUAUAUAUGUAUGUGUGAACUGCAUUGUUGUUUUAUUCAAGUUUUUUGUGCAAUGCAUUAUUUUUUAUUUUUAGCUUAUGGUUGGAGCACUGCAUUUUAUAUGUCUAAGUGUACGUCAUUUGUUCUUUUUGUACACUUUUUAAGGACCAUAGUCAAACUUCAUUUUGACGCAGUGUCUGUUUUCCAUGCUGGGGCGCCUGGGUUUGGGGAGGUUACUCAAUUGAUUGACCAUUAUUUUGCAGAGGGUAAUGUUCGUGUGAUCUUUGACCGGAGACGUCCUGUUUUGUCUGAAACACAAUCGCAGUCUGUUGAUAGUACCGAAGAAGUUACACAAGAUUGGAUGGUCUCGGAACAUCUUCGUGAAUAUGAGUUGAAGCAAAGCAAGAAGAAGUUGAGGUUUGAAAGUGACACAAAAGAGUUUGCAGAGAAGGAGAAGCAGAGGAGGUUGGGAGCCGUUGCAUUUGGGUUCUCCGUUGCCCUUUGGUUGGGAGACGUUGCCUUUAGGUUCCCCGUUGCGAUUGGGUUGGGCAUCGUUGCUUUUAGGUGCUCCGUUGCCCUUGGGUAUCACUUGAAGUCAGUCGUACUUUGACCCCCUAGUCCCCACCCCGACCCCGCCGCCGGUCCUCAUUACUUCCAAACCCACGCAAUUCCCCCACUGCCGGUCAGCCUCUCCCGCCCCUCUCUAUAAGCCAGGACUCGUGGAUUCUUCCUCAACACGCUGACCUAUGCCUCCGCCGGCGUGCCUCCUCCUCCUCCACCAGCGUGCCUUCUCCCCGGUGGUAAGCCCGCGCCUCGCCUCCCCUCCUUUCCUCUCGUCGUCUAGGUUUCUUCCAUUCGCCCGACCAUGGCUUACCAAGCACACCGUUUAGGUUUCCUCUCGUCCUCCCCGGAGCUUACCAAGCACGCCGUCUCCGAGGGCACCAAUGCCGUCACCAAGUUCACCUCGUCUUAGAUCUCGCCCCCUGUUUCUAGAAGCAGUGCAGAGUACACCCAUGUGCGAGGAAGUUUUGUUUGUAGUUUCUUCAUCAUACCAAGAAUCAUUCAUUUGAUGUCGGUCAUGAUUAGUCGAUUAUUUGGUUUGUGAUACAGUUGCGCACCAAGUCUGCAAUUAUGUAAGAUUGGUCAUAUCUUAAUUGCGCACCAAAGCUUUAUAUUGCUUCCAUUUGGGAAACUGGCAAUGUCUUCAUUUAUUAUACUGGUCAUAUAGAUAGAAAAUAUUUCUAUCAAUCUGAUGCCAUAAUUGGGGUCAAUUGUUUUCUUGCCAUUCAUUAUAAUGUAUACAUGCCACUGAACAAACAUUCAAUCUUCACUAGCCAAAUACAAACGUGGCUACCACCCUCUGUUAAACUUGGUUGUAACAGAAUAUUGUGCUGAGGACCUGUUGUUACAGUACCAGUAUUUUUCUGCUUGAUAUCACUAAUAGGAUUCUAACUGGAGAUAAUUUAGCAAAACAUUAAAACGUGUGAGAUUUACUAGUGUAGGUUCUACGUUGUCUCUGGGUUUCCCCGUUGCUUUAGGUACGUCGUUGCCUAUGGGUUGUACUCCGUUGCUUUUGGGUUCUUCGUUGCCUCUGGGUUGCUUUUAGGUUCUAUGUUACCUAUGGGUUUUCCACCGUUGCUUUUGGGUUGGUCGUUGCCUCUGAUUGCCCCCCGUUGCUUUUAGGCUCUACGUUUCUUCUGGGUUGUCCUACGUUGCUUUUGGGUGCGACGUUGCCUCUAGGUUGUGCUCCAUUGCUUUUGGCUGCCUCGUUGCCUCUGGGUUGUCCUGGAGGCGGCGGUGGAAGACGGGGCUGGAGAUGGUGCGGCCCCAGUCCUUGCUGGUGAGGGAGGCGCGUAGGAGCGACACUGGCUCGUCGAGAGGGAGGCGGAGGAAGAUCUCUUCGACGAGGUCAUCCGGGAGCGCCGGCGGUGGCGUCACCACCAUGGUAGUAGCUAGGUCUGAGUGUGUGUGGGUGGAGUGGAAUGGGCUGGGCUCAACCACGCGGGCAGCUGAUGCGGCAGAGUAGGAGAAGGCGAGGACGUCUGAUCGUGGGGAGACUACUGGCUGUCAUAUUCCUCUUAAUUAUGUGCAAGUUUCUUACCCUUUUUAUGAUAAUUCUGCCACAAUUACUAAUUUGUACUUGCGUGAAGGCAUGAGUAGUUUUAAUUCUUCACCUUUAUAUUUUGCGUUGGUUAAAAUUUGAACACCCAAAAUUGAAUUCCUGGAUCCCUCCAUGACUCUCAUGUAGAUUUUGUAGGGUUUGGUUAUGUUUCCUUAUCUAAUGCAAACUUAUCUAUUUUUUCAUGUCAAUUGGUCAGGUGCAAUCUAGCCAAAAGCUGGUGUGACUUUUGUCAAAGGUCCAAAUAUGUCUACUGAGGAAGACCAGGACAAGGGGCCGAGGACGUGGUGCAAUCCUGGUAUCGUACUAGAUCUAAAUCAGAAACUUCCAGAUAGAGUGGUUGACAGGAUGAAUGAACUAUCUCUCAGUAAGAUGAUGCUGAGAUUGCAGCUACGAUCCUUUAGGUACAGAAAAACCUGUGGAGACCUUCUAAAGAAUUCUAUUGUUCAUGAAAAUGAGAUUGAAUUCCGCGUCAAUGAUCUUAAUUCACUGUGGAUCACAAAAGAUGUAGUUCAGCAUGUGCUCAACUUGCCACAGGGCUCUACGAAGGAGCUCCCAACUGAAAGUGCAGAAUCACCAGCAGAGUACGACAGGAUGUACGAUGCAAUCAAGUUUGUAAUGGUGAAACACCAGUGCAAGGGAGCGCCCAGCACUAGUAGAAAACAGGGCUUUGGUCCAGGCCGGGUCAGCCCAUUAGUCCCGGUUCAGUCCAGAACCGGGACCAAUGUGGGCAUUGGUCCCGGUUCGUGAGCCCAGUGGGCCGGCCGAGACACGUGGGCCAUUGGUCCCGGUUCAUCUGGACCUUUGGUCCCGGUUGGUGGGAUGAACCUGGACCAAUGGGCCUCGCUCCUGGCCCACCACCAUUGGUCCCGGUUGGUGGCUUGAACCGGGACCACAGGCUCCCCUUUAGUCCCGGCUCAUGCCACCAACCGGGACCAAUGAGGUGCCUAUAUAUACCCCUCGCUCGCGAGCAGAGCACCCCAGUGCUCUGUUUUUCUCUGGCCGAGGGGGAGAGGGCUUGGUGGUGCUCUAGCUCACCUCCUAUGCACACAAGGUGUUCGAUGGAAUGCCCGAGCCACACUACUUAAGCUUUCUCCUCUCCAAGCUCGACCUCCAAGCUCCAUUUUCCAUAAUAUUUGUCUAGGUUUAGCGGUCUGUCACGCCCCGUCCCCAUCUUCACCGCCGUCGAUCACCUGCGCCGAGCUCAUCGCCGGCACCACCGUGGUGAGCCUCUUGUUCUUAUCUUCUUUCUGAAAGGAAAAAUAUUCUUACUUGUAUGUUUACAUAGAUACUUGUAUUAUUUUCUUACUUUUAUUAUUGCAUCUUAUAUAGUGCGAUGGUUUUGGUAUCCGCCCCCGUCGGCCCUCGUCCUGUCUAUGAUUCGGAUGUGGUAUAUAUAUUAUCUUUAUAACUAUUGGUUCAUUUAUUGUUUAUGAAAAUUACGCCGACCAACGUGACAUAGAUUUUAUUUAUGUAGGAUGUAUGUGAAUCGGAAAUGCCAACCGACCCUAUUGUCGAGAGGUUAAAUUUAGUUGAAGAAGAAAACAAUUUGUUGAAGGAAAAAAUAAAAAAAAUUGAAGAGGAUAAGAUGAUAUUCGAGUUGCAUGUUGCGGAUGUCGUCGAUGAUAACAAGAUCAAGAUGGAUGCAAUGCGCUUGAAGAUUAGAAAGAUUAGAAAAUAUGCCAUUCAUACCGAGGCUUGGUAUCAUUAUGCCGUUGGAUCAAUUGUUACCUUGGUAGCGAUUAUGAUCGCAUUUGUUUUCGCAUUGAAAUGUUUUGCAUAGUUUCAAUGUAUGGUUUAAUUAAUUAUAUGCUCUGGAGAGCUAUAUGUUGUUAGAUGAGAACUAUGUAUGCACUUUGGUUUUAAUGUGAUGAUGAACUUCUAUUAAUUUGGACACUUAAUUAUAUAUAAUGCACGCAGAUGAACCGGCAAUGGAUGUACGGUGACAGACACACCCGCGAGUACAUUAAGGGCGUGCAUGAGUUUCUCGAUGUGGCUGAGGCAAACAAGCAGAAUGGUUUUAUGUGUUGUCCAUGCACUGAAUGUGGGAAUACGAGGUCUUACUCUAACCGUAAAAUCCUUCACUCCCACCUGCUUUACAAAGGUUUCAUGCCACACUAUAAUGUUUGGACGAGGCACGGAGAAAUAGGGGUUAUGAUGGAAGACGGCGAAGAAGAAGAGUACGAUGACAACUAUGUGCCCCUGAAUACGGUGAUGCUGCAACGAGGGGAGCUGGUGAAGAUCAAGAGGAACCAGACGAUGUGCCCAAUGAUGCUGCAACGGGUGAAGCUGCUGAAGAUCAAGAGGAACCAGACGAUGUGCCCGAUGAUGAUGAUCUCCGCCGGGUCAUUGUUGAUGCAAGGACGCAAUGCGAAAGUCAAAAGGAGAACCUGAAGUUCGAUCGCAUGUUAGGGGAUCACAAAAAAGGGUUAUACCCCAAUUGCGAAGAUGGCAACACAAAGCUCGGUACCGUACUGGAAUUGCUGCAGUGGAAGGCAGAGAAUGCUAUGGCUGACAAAGGAUUUGAGAAGCUACUGAAGAUAUUGAAGAAGAAGCUCCCAAAGGAUAACGAAUUGCCCGACAGUACAUACGCAGCAAAGAAGGUCGUAUGCCCUCUAGGAUUGGAGGUGGAGAAGAUACAUGCAUGCCCUAAUGACUGCAUCCUCUACCGCGGUGCAUACAAGGAUCUGAACGCAUGCCCGGUAUGCGGUGCAUUGCGGUAUAAGAUCAGACGAGAUGACCCUGGUGAUGUUGACGGCGAGCCCCCCAGGAAGAGGGUUCCUGCGAAGGUGAUGUGGUAUGCUCCUAUAAUACCAUGGUUGAAACUUCUGUUCAGAAACGAAGAGCAUGCCAAGUUGAUGCGAUGGCAUAGUGAGAACCGAAAGAAAGAUGGGAAGUUGAGAGCACCUGCUGACGGGUCGGAGUGGAGAAAAAUCGAGAGAAAGUACUGGGAUGACUUUGCAAAGGACCCAAGGAAUGUAUGGUUUGCUUUAAGCGCGGAUGGCAUUAAUCCUUUCGGGGAGUAGAGCAGCAAUCACAGCACCUGGCUCGUGACUCUAUGUAUGUAUAACCUUCCUCCUUGGAUGUUCAUGAAGCGGAAGUUCAUUAUGAUGCUAGUUCUCAUCCAAGGCCCUAAGCAACCCGGCAACGAAAUUGAUGUGUACCUAAGGCCAUUAGUUGAAGAACUUUUACAGCUGUGGAAUGGAAACGGUGUACGUACGUGGGAUGAACACAGACAGGAGGAAUUUAACCUUAAGGCGUUGCUGUUCGUGACCAUCAACGAUUGGCCCGCUCUCAGUAACCUUUCAGGACAGACAAACAAAGGAUACCACGCAUGCACGCACUGUUUAGAUGACACUGAAAGUAUAUACCUCGACAAAUGCAGGAAGAAUGUGUACCUGGGCCACCAUCGAUUUCUUCCGACCAACCAUCAAUGUCGAAAGAAAGGCAAGCAUUUCAAAGGCGAGGCAGAUCACCAGAAGAAGCCCGCCAUGCGCACCGGUGAUCACGUGCUUGCUAUGGUCAAUGAUUUAUAGUACAUAAUCUUUGGAAAGGGUCCCGGUGGCUAGCUAUUCCGAAUGAUGUUGAGGGACACACACCCAUGUGGAAGAAGAAAUCUAUAUUUUGGGACCUACCCUACUGGAAAGACCUAGAGGUCCGCUCCUCAAUCGACGUGAUGCACGUGACGAAGAACCUUUGCGUGAACCUGCUAGGCUUCUUGGGCGUGUAUGGGAAGACAAAAGAUACACCUGAGACACGGGAGGACCUGCAAUGUUUGCACGAAAAAGACGGCAUGCCUCCGAAGCAGUAUAAAGGUCAUGCCAGCUACGCUCUUACGAAAGAAGAGAAAGAAAUCUUCUUUGAAUGCCUGCUCAGUAUGAAGGUCAUGACUGGCUUCUCGUCGAAUAUAAAGGGAAUAAGAAAUAUGCCAGAGAAAAAGUUUCAGAACCUAAAGUCUCAUGACUGCCACGUGAUUAUGACGCAACUGCUUCCGGUUGCAUUAGGGGGCUUCUACCAGAAAACGUCCGAUUAGCCAUUGUGAAGCUAUGUGCAUUCCUCAAUGCAAUCUCUCAGAAGGUGAUCGAUCCAGAAAUCGUACCAAGGCUAAGGAGUGAUGUGGCACAAUGUCUUGUCAGUUUCGAGCUGGUGUUCCCACCAUCCUUCUUCAAUAUCAUGACGCACGUCCUAGUUCAUCUAGUCGAUGAUUUUGUCAUCCUGGGGCCCGUAUUUCUACACAAUAUGUUCCCCUUUGAGAGGUUCAUGGGAGUCCUAAAGAAAUAUGUCUGUAACCGUGCUAGGCCAGAAGGAAGCAUCUCCAUGGGCCAUCAAACAGAGGAUGUUAUCGGGUUUUGUGUUGACUUCAUUCCUGGCCUUAAGAAGAUAGGUCUCCCUAAAUCGCGCUAUGAGGGGAGACUGACUGGAAAAGGCACUCUUGGAAGAGACUCAAUAAUAUGCAGCGAUGGAUAUUCUUGGUCUCAAGCACACUACACAGUUCUACAGAACUCUACCUUGGUGACCCCGUAUGUCGAUGAACACAAGAACAGUCUGCGCUCCAAACACCCGGAGCAGUGCGACGACUGGAUUACAUGUGAACACAUCAGGACUUUCAGCAGUUGGUUGGAAACACGUCUCAGAGGUGACAACAUUGUUUGUGAUGAGUUGUACUUGUUGUCCAGGGGACCAUCUUUGACUGUAUUGACUUACAAAGGAUACGAGAUAAAUGGGAAUACAUUUUACACGAUCGCCCAAGAUCAAAAGAGCACCAACCAAAACAGUGGUGUCCGCUUUGAUGCAGCAACCGAGAGCGGAAAGGACACAUAGUGGACAUAUGGGAACUUGACUACGGACCUGAUUUUAAGGUCCCUUCGUUUAAGUGCAAAUGGGUCAAUCUGUUAGGCGGCGGGGUACAGGUAGACCCACAGUACGGAAUGACAACAGUGGAUCUGAAAAAUCUUGGGUACACUGACGAACCGUUCGUCCUAGCCAAUGAUGUGGCACAGGUUAUCUAUGUGAAGGACAUGUCUACCAAACCGAGAAAAGAAAAGAUAAGGAAGCGAAUACAUCAUACGAUGAGCCAAAGCGCCACAUAGUUCUUUCAGGAAAAAGGGACAUCCUGGGAGUGGACGGCAAGACUCAAGAUGGCAACGGGGACGAAACCCAUCGGGUUUUGCCUUCCCAAACCCAUCCCCACGAAAAAAUCAUAAACCCGUCCCCGUCCCCAUCACCGUGUGCGGGGCUAGUUUUCUGCCCGUCCCCUAAACCCAUCGGGUUUCGGGGAACCCACGGGGAACCCACGAUAAAAUUAAAAUAUUUAAACAAACAUAGUGGCGACAAAGAAUAACACUUCAGCAGCAAAACAGGCACAUUUCAGCAGCAUAGAUUGAGUAAACUUGAACAAAAAACAAUAGAAGAUGGUUCAACAGCUAUUAAGUUCUGAAAUAGAACUUAUAGUUCACAAAUCACUUUAAAGUUGGAAUCAUCAUGGCAUCUUUCACAUCUCCAAGCCUCCAAACGACCAUCUUCAAAUCUUCCAAUGCCAAAUCAAGGUGCCAAGUAUUAGGGAAGAUCAAAACUCGCUCAAGCUAAAGUUAAACAUGAGAAAAAUAUGCAGAUUAGUAUAUGAAAUUUGCAAGUACUUGUACUUCACCUGCAUUCCCUCUUGAAUGUCUUGAAGACAACUUCAAAAGCUUUGUCCUUAUUCAUUGUCAGCAUCUAUGAGAAUCAAAUAAAUAGUAAUGAACAUCUUAUGAAACAUUGCAGCAAGAUAAUGAUAAACUUUAUGAUGAUAUGUAAAGAAAGGCACACCUUUAUAUUUGUUUCUUAUCCAAUCUUGUGAACACAUCAAGGCCUCUUAGAUUUCGGGGGUAAGAUGACUACGGUGAUAAUAAAAAUAAUGUAAUUUCACGGGUAUUACCGGGUUUUGGGUUCGGGGACUACCGAAACGGGUGUAAACCCACGAAACGUGUCGGGUUGUAUAAUGUGCCCAACAACAGCCCCGUGGGGAUGAAAAGAUGCCCAUCCCCGUCCCCUAAUAGGGUAAAAACAAAUGGGGACGCGGGUUUCGGGGCCCCAUUGCCAUCUUGAGGCAAGACAAACAUGUCUGAAGAUUAUGAAAAGUUUCGUGAAAUUCCUCCCUUCAAUGUCAAGGCUGACCCAAUCAUCCUGAUAAACAAUGAAGAUUAUCCAUGGUUACGGCGCAAUAAGCAAAUGACACAAGCGAAGAAAAAGUGAAGACUUUCUCCCGCAACUAUUAUGAUGAUACCAUGCCAACUUUGUAACACACGAACAUGCUACCAUUGUCCGUUUUGUACAUGCACAUGCUAUGUGGGUGAAAUUAUGAUACCAUCCCAACUUUCAACUUUUUCAGAGUUCAUUUGAAAUGCUUUCAUGUCUUAUGGUUCGCCCCUGGCCCAUGACCAUUAGUCCUGGUUUGUGCCACAAACCGGGAUUAAAGGGUUGGUCCUCGUUGCGGGCAGAGUUUAGUCCCACCUCGCCAACCAAAGGGGGCUCACACCGGUUUAUAAGCCCUUCCCUCUCUGCCUUGUUGAGCUCCUCUCGAAGUGAAAAUAGAUGCCCUAAUAGAGAAAAUUUUAACCUAAAUUCAUAGUGAAUUUCUCUGAAAUUCAUAGAAAUUUACUAGGAAUUUAGGUUGAAUUUUCUCUAUAAGCGCAUCUAUUCUCAUUUUUUUAGUAAGUUAAUCACAAACUUGUGAUUCAAAUAAUUUUCAAAGAAUUCAAAUUUUAACUAUUCAAAUUUGAAAACUAAUGGCACUAACAGAAAGUUUAUAAUUUUUCUAAAACUAAUGGCACUAACAGAAAGUUUAUAAUUUUGCUAACCUAAAAGCAAACAGAAUUAAAAAUUAAAGCAAAAAACAAAAGAAAAUAAAUAAUGCAAAAAACAAAUCACAAAAACAGGAAAANNNNNNNNNNNNNNNNNNNNNNNNNNNNNNNNNNNNNNNNNNNNNNNNNNNNNNNNNNNNNNNNNNNNNNNNNNNNNNNNNNNNNNNNNNNNNNNNNNNNNNNNNNNNNNNNNNNNNNNNNNNNNNNNNNNNNNNNNNNNNNNNNNNNNNNNNNNNNNNNNNNNNNNNNNNNNNNNNNNNNNNNNNNNNNNNNNNNNNNNNNNNNNNNNNNNNNNNNNNNNNNNNNNNNNNNNNNNNNNNNNNNNNNNNNNNNNNNNNNNNNNNNNNNNNNNNNNNNNNNNNNNNNNNNNNNNNNNNNNNNNNNNNNNNNNNNNNNNNNNNNNNNNNNNNNNNNNNNNNNNNNNNNNNNNNNNNNNNNNNNNNNNNNNNNNNNNNNNNNNNNNNNNNNNNNNNNNNNNNNNNNNNNNNNNNNNNNNNNNNNNNNNNNNNNNNNNNNNNNNNNNNNNNNNNNNNNNNNNNNNNNNNNNNNNNNNNNNNNNNNNNNNNNNNNNNNNNNNNNNNNNNNNNNNNNNNNNNNNNNNNNNNNNNNNNNNNNNNNNNNNNNNNNNNNNNNNNNNNNNNNNNNNNNNNNNNNNNNNNNNNNNNNNNNNNNNNNNNNNNNNNNNNNNNNNNNNNNNNNNNNNNNNNNNNNNNNNNNNNNNNNNNNNNNNNNNNNNNNNNNNNNNNNNNNNNNNNNNNNNNNNNNNNNNNNNNNNNNNNNNNNNNNNNNNNNNNNNNNNNNNNNNNNNNNNNNNNNNNNNNNNNNNNNNNNNNNNNNNNNNNNNNNNNNNNNNNNNNNNNNNNNNNNNNNNNNNNNNNNNNNNNNNNNNNNNNNNNNNNNNNNNNNNNNNNNNNNNNNNNNNNNNNNNNNNNNNNNNNNNNNNNNNNNNNNNNNNNNNNNNNNNNNNNNNNNNNNNNNNNNNNNNNNNNNNNNNNNNNNNNNNNNNNNNNNNNNNNNNNNNNNNNNNNNNNNNNNNNNNNNNNNNNNNNNNNNNNNNNNNNNNNNNNNNNNNNNNNNNNNNNNNNNNNNNNNNNNNNNNNNNNNNNNNNNNNNNNNNNNNNNNNNNNNNNNNNNNNNNNNNNNNNNNNNNNNNNNNNNNNNNNNNNNNNNNNNNNNNNNNNNNNNNNNNNNNNNNNNNNNNNNNNNNNNNNNNNNNNNNNNNNNNNNNNNNNNNNNNNNNNNNNNNNNNNNNNNNNNNNNNNNNNNNNNNNNNNNNNNNNNNNNNNNNNNNNNNNNNNNNNNNNNNNNNNNNNNNNNNNNNNNNNNNNNNNNNNNNNNNNNNNNNNNNNNNNNNNNNNNNNNNNNNNCCCGUCGCGCCCCCAGUGAGCUCCCCCCUUCCCAUCGAUCCCUGUCGCUCUGACCAUCGCCGCCGCCGCCGCUGCUCUCUGUGUGUGAUAAAUUUUUUCAUAUGUGUAUGUAUAUGCUCAUAUGUAUUUGGAUUUGGCUAUGUAUGUAUGUAUGUAUAUGCUCAUAUGUAUGUAUGUAUGUAUGUAUGUAUAUGCUCUCUAUAUAUGGAUUUGGCUAUGUAUAUGCUCUCUGUAUAUGCUCAUAUGUAUGUAUGUUCAUAUAGCAUUUUUUCUAUAUAUGAUUUUUUUUUGUUCAUGGAUAUAUGCUAAAGAAAACGAGGGGGGUGAUAGAUGAUGAUGAGGGGUCGAGAGGGGGACGAGAGGUCGAGAGGGGUCGAGGGGAGAAAAAAAUGUUAUCAGGGACGAGAGUCGUCGAAGGGUCGAGAGAGGGAUGAGGGGUCGAGAGGGGUACGAACCGGGACCAAUACUCUAUGUAUAUAAGCAGGACUUAGAAAGAAGAAGAGGAGAAAUAAAUAAGAAGAAGAAAAAAGAAGAAAAAGAAGAGGAGAAGAAGAAAGGAAUAGUGGAGAAGAAGAGAAAAUAGAAUAUAUUCUAUUUUUUCUUCUUCUCCACUAUUCCUUUCUUCUUCUCCUCUUUUUUUUCUUCUUUUUUUUCUUCGAUCUUCUCCUCUAGCUAUUCCUUUCUUCUUCUCCUCUUUCUUCUUCUUCUUCUUCUUCUUCUUCUUCUUCUUNNNNNNNNNNNNNNNNNNNNNNNNNNNNNNNNNNNNNNNNNNNNNNNNNNNNNNNNNNNNNNNNNNNNNNNNNNNNNNNNNNNNNNNNNNNNNNNNNNNNNNNNNNNNNNNNNNNNNNNNNNNNNNNNNNNNNNNNNNNNNNNNNNNNNNNNNNNNNNNNNNNNGUCUAGGGGUCGAGGGUUCCAGGGUCGUCGAGGGUUCGAGGGGUCGAGGAUCGCCGAGGGGUCGAGAGAGGUUUCCUAGUGUCAAAGUAUUGAAGAAAUCCAUGGCUUCAUCAUUAGCCGGAAGUAACCAGGGCAUGACGAAGUCCUCCAAAGUUAUUUUGGAAUGGUGUCCCGGAUAGGAUAAUUUGCCUUUUUGUAUGAAUUUCAGCAAAGGCCUUCCAAAUAACGAUAUUUGGAAGGUUCUUGCUGAACUUUAUACCAAAAAGCGAAUUAUCCUAUCUAGGACUCCGUUCCAAAAUAACUUUGGAGGGCUUCGUACCAUCAUGCACCUGUUACUUUCGCCUAAUGAUGAAGACAUGGUUUUGUUGAAUACUUUGACACUAGGCAACCUCCCGACCCCUCGGCGAUCCUCUCGAACAUGAGAGGAAGAAGAGGAUCGCCGAGGGGUCGAGGGUUCCAGGGUCGUCGAGGGUUCGAGGGGUCGAGGAUCGCCGAGGGGUCGAGAGAGAGAUUUCCUAGUGUCAAAUUAUUGAAGAAAUCCAUGGCUUCAUCAUUAGCCAGAAGUAACCAGGGCAUGACGAAGUCCUCCAAAGUUAUUUUGGAAUGGUGUCCCGGAUAGGAUAAUUUGCCUUUUUGUAUGAAUUUCAGCAAAGGCCUUCCAAAUAACGAUAUUUGGAAGUUUCUUGCUGAACUUUGUACCAAAAAGAGAAUUAUCCUAUAUAGGACUCCGUUCCAAAAUAACUUUGGAGAGCUUCGUACCAUCAUGCGCAUGUUACUUUCGCCUAAUGAUGAAGACAUGGUUUUGUUGAAUCCUUUGACACUAGGCAACCUCCCGACCCCUCGGCGAUCCUCUCGAACAUGAGAGGAAGAAGAGGAUAAAAAAGGAAGAGGAAGAAGAAAAAAAAGAGGAGAAGAAAGAAUAGAGGAAUUCUUCUCCUCUAUUCUUUCUUCUCCUCUUUUUUUCUUCUUCUUCCUCUUUUUUUAUCGGGAACGAGGGUCGUCGAGGGACAUAGAUGUAGUGUCGUCGUUGUCGAUAUAUACCCCCUCCCGAUAGCUUCAACACGUGGGGGGGGGGUCGAUAUUACCCCCUCCUUGAAGCGUUCUUGAGGCCACCCCAAACCCUUGAAGCAUUGUCGAGGCCACCCCAAACCCUAGAGAAGCAGCGUCGAGGCCACUAAUUAAUAUAUAUGAUUCCUUACUAUGAUUAGGUAGCUAGUUCUACGUUUGCCACUAAUAUAUCCAUCUGUCAUGUUUGAAUAAUAAUUGCCAUGUUGUAAAUAUUUGUAGAAACUAUGGACACCGCCCAAGACGAAGCAAAAGAAGCGUUGUUGAGGGACAUAAUCACAGAAGGAAGUGAUGCCGUCUCAUUGUUUCUCAACGACACCGAUGGUCUGGAAGGAGAGGGUGAAGAAGCUGGCUACGUUGACCUAAUGCCGGUGCAAGAAGAAGAACAUGAGGACGGCUCCGGUGACCCAAUGCCGGUGCAAGAAGGAGACCGUGAUGACGGCUCCGGUGACCGAACCGAGUCCGGCCAGGUAUAUAUAUUAGUUAAGCCUAUGCUGACUAGCUGAUUGAUGCAUUCAUUAUUUUGGUAUGUACACAUAUUAAUUAAGUCUUUGUUCUUUUUUCUAGCCCUCCGGAUCGAGCACAACUUCGGUAAAGAGACGAGGCCCGAAGAAAAAGUUGAGCUCGGAUGAAAGGUUUGAGAUCAUAGCAAUCGCGCCCGAUGGCCAACCGAUUGAACCCAUCCGAACAAAGAACGCAUUUGUUGCUAGGUUUUAUGAGCCUAUAUGUAGCCAGCUUCCUGCAUAUGAUGAUGAGGUGCCGCAUACUCGUGGUUUCAUAGCUCGACAGAUGUUUGAUAAUAGAAGCUCUUCUAAAUAGACAUUUGUUGGUGGCAAAAAACACGAGGAGAUUGAUGAGCUUCUUCUGAAGGUUUUGAAGUUGACUGAAGAUUUGCCAACCUCUAGUGACAGGUUGAGGACAGUUGCUGUUUUUUUCCCUGUUGGCCAUGGCCCACAAGAUGAAGAUAUUGUUGCUGCUCACAAUUUUGAUUGUGGCAUGAUUGAAAGCCUGAAGAUUGCAGUGAUGAAUGUUUAGUCUUCGUAUGCUCAAUUGAGCCAUUCACAGGAGGAAAAUGCGGUCGGUAUGAGAAGGAUGCUGGGCAUAUUUUGGAUGAAAUGAACCGUCAGCACACUGGCGUUGGCGCUGAUAAUGUAUGUUCUAGGUGUUUUGUGUCUUUGAACCUCUUUUGUGUAUUAUGUGGACUGCUCCUAACUAUUUUUGUUUUGUGAAUAGGCUGGAGUGGAAUCUUCUGGUGUCCAGGGAACUAGGGACGAUGGAGUUUGUCAGGUACAAUUACUUCUGCCAUGUCUGUUCUGCCAUGCGUCCCUCUUCUUCAAACUUGCAUUUGUUGCUUCCCAUUUUAUUGUAUUUUUUGUGUACUUCACGGUUGUAAAGUUGGUACUGCUUGUGCAUAGUUGAAGUUUUUUUCUUUUUUGAUCGUUACCAUUUUAUUUUUGUUCUUGGUUUGUUCUAUGCCCGUAGACUAAUGUUGCUGCUUGUGAUGUGCACAAAGAGUCCUAUGAUGGCUCUGGAAAGGAUAAGAUCUUGGCUGAUGCAUCGUCCCCUCCAGAUGUUGUAGCUGAUAAGGUAUAGUUGUAUUACUUGUUCUGUUGGUGGGCUGUAAUCUAUUUUUUUUGUUAUAAACUUGAUGUACGCAGUUAUGUUCACUCAUAUACAUUUUCAUUUACAUAUGUUAUUUGCAAUAGUUUUACAUGUAUGAGCUUCAGUCUUUGACAAAAGUGAACUGCAGUUCUUUUUGCAUGCGUGGUCCGUAGUGUUUUACAUACGUAAGCUUCAGUAUUUAACACAACUGAACUACAGUUCUUUUGUAUUUUUAUGUGGGUUGUAGUGGUAGUUGUUUUGACACACGUGGACUGCAGUUGUUCUGUGUAUGUUGUCAGCAGUCUUUUUGACAUAAGUGUCAUGUGUGUUGUUGUGUUAAUUAUCCACACGCUCAUUUUGUGUUAUUGUGUGUUUUUAAACUUUCCACAGCCUGGAGAAGAAAACGUAGAAGUUCACGUCGAUCUGAAUCAGGGCGGUUGUGAUGUUGAUGGUGGUGGCAGUGUUAAUUCUUCUACAUCGGUUUCCGUCGACUGUGCAGAUCCCUCUAUAGCUCAAGAAUCCCAUGAUGUUGUUUCCCCUAGUCGGCAUGAAGAUUCUGAUUUUUGCAUUGAAAAGCCACUGGAGAAAGUCGUCCCUGCUGUUAGUGUUGUUGCUUCUCCUGUUUGUCUGGCGGCCAAUGAUGUUCCUGAAGUAUCGAGAGUGGAGCCUCAUGUAGCGGAAGUAUCUAAGUACGUUGCGGUUGACCAGACUGUUGUAAAUCCAAAGAAUGCUGAUGUUGCUGCAGAAGGGCAGUCUAAUGAUGUUGCGGUGGAUUCGUCGCAACCUAGCCAAGAAAAUGUUUUUGUUAGCUCUGAAGAACAACAACAUGAAGACUGUGAAACUGAAGGCAAGAGUUUUGUUUCAAAGAGUGCAGUUGAAGUUAUUCUCAUUCAUUUUGUUUAAUUACUAUGGUAUCUGCAUUAGAUGUUUAAUGAUAAGUGGAACUUGAUCUUUUGUUUAUGCUUUUCAAAAUAGCUAGCAGAAUUUCCUUAUCUUAAUAUUUGAACUUCAUUCUUUGGAUAAGUGAACUUCAUCUUUUUAUUACAGAUGACGAACUUCCUGUUGUGACACCGUCCAGCAUUGAUCCAGCUCUUCUGAAAAGAUACAAUGAGAUGUACGCUGCUGUUACGAGUGUUCGGAAGGACAAUAAGAAGAAGUAUGGUUUUUUAGAAAAUGUUUUGUUCAUAUGUAUUUUCUAAUUUUGGUAUUUACCCCUUUUUCUUUGUUGUUAUUUUUUUAGUAUCUUAUGUUUCAGUUUUUCAUGAAAAAUUCAGGGACAUGAUUGCUUUUAAAACUGAGAUGGCUGAUAUUACCAUUGGCGAAGUUGGUCAAUCCUUUUGGGAUAAAGAGAUGCUCACUACAAGCCUUGUAGAUCUUGGGGUUUCUUUGGGGAUAGAUAAGUUUAAGGGAAUCGUUGCCCCGUACCAUAUUUGUGUAAGGAUUCAGAAAUUUUUGUUUUAUUUUUUGAUUUUCUUUUUUGAUUUCAUGCGACGACCUGUUUUCUUGAGCACUAUUUGAUUUUUGGUUUUGUUUUGGUAGACACAUAUUUGGAAUGGUGGUACUGUAGGCAGGAGUGUUAAAAUGAUGUUCUCUUCAAAAGCCGAGGAGCGUGUUGAUAAAAAGGAUAUGGUGAGUAACGUUUCUAUGUGUCGAAAACUAUAUUUUGUGUGUUUGUUUUUAUAGUGUUCUAUUUCUUCUUCUUAUAAUAAUUUUAUUAAUUUAUUCAUGCUUCGAACACUUCCUUUUUGCAACUUUUGAUCUGCCAGAGAUGAGGGAUGGCAUUGGUCAUUAUUGUGUAGUUGCGUUAAAUGUGAAAGAAAGGAGGUUUGAAUUUCUUGACUCGCUCAAUAAACCUGACAGCCCUGAUGACAUCAGGGUUUUUAGGAGGAUGGUUAAAAAUAUCAAGCGUGCAUGGAAAGAAGGAAGCUCAAGUUCUGAUGAGCCGCUAAAUCCUCCUACACUUGAUGGAUUUGUGUUGAAACAUCUCAUUGUCCCAAUGCAGCCAAAUGGGUGUGUUCUGUAUGGCCCCUCUCCGCCAUACUGCUCAAGUUUUUUUAUUUCGUUUUGUGAAACUGAUGUUUUUUAUUCUUUUUUGUUGCAGUCAUGAUUGUGGAUUCUAUAUGUUUCAAUUCUUGCAGACUUGGGAUGGUGUUCAAGUUGCUAAGUUUGGGGUGGAGCACAUUGGCUACAUCAGAAAUGCCAUGCUCUAUAGUUGGCUCACAUCAAGAAAGUGUUGCCUUGAUUUAACAUCACUUUUAAUUUUUGCAGAUAAAGGUUGUUUUAGUGAACUUCUUCAUCCUCCCUUUUAUUUAUUUUUUGUCUACUGCUUGCUUCCGCUUCUUAUGGGCUUUUUUUACUAGUUUGUUUAGUUAAGUUCGUGACUUAGAAUGGAUGUGUAUAUUUAUUUGUUGCGUUAGUGAGAUGCAUUUUAUUUUUUGGGCAAAUGAGCUGCAUUGUUCUUUAAAGUGGGCUGCAUUGAUGUAGACAAGUGGACUCCAUUGCUGUAGACAAGAGGACUGCAUUGAUGUAGACUAGUGGACUACAUUGAUGUAGACUAGUGGGCUGCAUUCUAUUCUUUAGUAAACUACAUUUUUUUAUAUUAAUGAGAUGUAUUACAUGUUUUUUGGUUUUGUAUUUUGUGAUGAGUGUUUCCAUGUUUUUCCUACACAUAUUUAGGUUUUGAUGGGGGGCUUCAUGAAGGUUGUACGUCACUGUUUGAGUCCCAGGGUUCUGAGGUGGUUAUGGAGGAUUGUGUCAUUGAAAUCUCUCCAGAUAAUUCUGGUUCUUUGGAUGGAUAUGGUUUGAAAACAGAUGUGGCAUCUGGAUCUGGUGGUGGAAGUGUCUCUCGACCUAGCUCUCCACACGAUGUAUUUGAUGUUGAUGAUGAUGAUUUUGUUACGCCGUGUCCAUGCGUCACUAGGACUAGGAGUGCACCAAUUAGUGGUCCUCCUUUGGAUGAGGUUGAAGUAUUUUCGAACAAGAGGGCAGGUGAGAGGGCUUUUAAGUUGAGAUGCUCUAUAGAGAAAUUGAAGCCUCCGAGGUUGAAAUAUAUCGAUGAGGCGAGGAAAAUAAAGGAUCUUGUUCUCAGCAAAGAUUUUGUAACCAAAUACCACGAGUAAGUUUUAUGUGUGUGCCCUUCAUCCUUUCUGUGUGUUUUUAAUUUUAAUUUUAUUGAUCCCAUCUGUGUAUGUUUACUGAAGUAACGCGUUAUUUAUGAUGAAUAGUCCUUUUCGUCAUGUUGAUACUUACACUAUUAACUAUAUCUAUAAUACAUUUGGCAAAGGAGCUUUAAUGGAUUCGUAUCUCAUGGAUUUUGCAAUCAAGUACUGGAAGCAAGAACCUGAAUUGGGUUUAGUUCAUUAUUCCGGUGAACGUGUGCUAGUUUCACCUUUAUUUAUCAUGGUAAAUGUGUGCUGUCAUUUUUUCCUAUUGUACUGGUUUUUUCAUGUCCAUGCCUGCAUGCAUUGUUUAUCCUUUUUUCAUAUCUUUUUUGUUCUUUUUUCUGUGCAGUACGUUCUUCAAAUGGAAACCUUUGUGACGAGAGAUGAUGAUUUAAACCCUGUGUUGCCAGUUGUGCAUAGCCUGUUUGUUUUAGAAGAUGCAGUUAAGCAGUUCAUGGUUUUUGUGAGCGACAACGUAAACCUGUUGGAUGCAAAACUGGUAAGUUCAUUGUUUUCCGUCAUUUACUUUUCUGGUUUGUUGCACUUCUUUUUAUAGUUAUUUUUGGAACAGUGGUCCUGGUGCUACGUGUCGAAAGAACUUUUCAUUUUCUUCUGUUUUAAUGUGAACAGAUUAUGAUGCCGCGCUCCAAGGAUUGUCAUUAUUCCUUAUACACGAUGAACCAGCAUCGCUAGACGUUUGAUAUCCAUGACACUAGGAAGUACACUAGCCAUCCUGAUGUCACGACAAAGUGGCGCGGGACUGACUACCACUCAGAUUGCACUGAAGUGGUACGUCAUUUUUUUCUUGCCAAGUGACAAGCUUUUUUGUGUUUCUCCUACUGCAUUUUUUUAUAAACUGCAAAUGCAAUGUUAGCACACAUUGAACCACACUUGUUUAUGUAGUGCACCUCAACAUAUGCGUGACAGAACUGCAUUUUCUCACACCACCCAUAAUCUCUGUAAAAGGGUUAAAAGGAAAUGACCUCACGUGCAUUUAAAAGAGGGACUGUCUAGACCUUGAGAACAACUUUGGUAUUUUUUGGUUUGUCUGAAUAGUAACUUGAUCUGUGAUGUGUGUUAUUUUUACCUUGUGCUACCUUUUUUUUGCCAUAUGAGGAGGAUGACUCAGCUGCUUAAGGCGAUUUAUGGUGAAAAAAUGUAUAAACUGAAGAACCACCCUGACUAGGUUAAAUUGGUAGAGAAGCCCUCUUUCCCGGUCGUGCCAGUGCAGGGAGCAAACGAGUGCGGAAUCUAUGUUCUGAGAUUGACGCACUUGUAUGACGGCCAAUGUCUAGUUGAGAGAAUUAUGAAAUCCGACAUAACACCUUCUCUGUUUUCUUAUUUUUCUUGCUACUUUUUUUUAUUUUUACUUUUCACUUUUUGUUCUUUAUGACAACCUUUUUUUAAACACUGUUCUGCAUUUUUUUAAUUUUCUUUUUUGCAGCCUGUUGUUGAAGAUUGGAAGGCAGAAUACAUGUUCCAGCUGCUGUUCAAUCCUUCGAACAUCUUGUGUUAUGAAGACAUGUCACUUGAGCUACGAGAUCUGAUUGCGGACCUCGGGCUUACUUCCCUGUCGCAAUCGCAAACGCAGUCGCAGACGCAGUAACAGUCAUCUUGGCAUUGUUUUCUACUUGGUAAAAGCCUAUACAUGGACAAGAACUAGGGUUCAUGUUGUGAACUGUGUGUGGUCUAAGAUAGAUAAUGUAUGAAAAGACUUUUGUUUUCUUCUUGUUGUGCACAAACCGGACACAUUCCCUCUCGAUACCCAUAGACUAUCUCGAAGAACGGGCCUAGACUUGGUACGUCAUCUCGCGAUGACAUGCACUAACACGAAGAAUCAGUUACUCUCGGUGCCGAUCAAUGAUGUCUACUACACAACCUUCUUCUUGUAGACGUUGUUGGGCCUCCAAGUGCAGAGGUUUUUAGGAUAGUAGCAAAUUUCCCUCAAGUGGAUGACCUAAGGUUUAUCAAUCCAUAGGAGGCAUAGGAUGAAGAUGGUCUCUCUCAAGCAACCCUGCAACCAAAUAACAAAGAGUCUCUUGUGUCCCCAACACACCCAAUACAAUGGUAAAUUGUAUAGGUGCACUAGUUCGGCGGCGAAGAGAUGGUGAAACAAGUGGUAUAUGGAUAGUAGAUAACGGUAUUUGUAAUCUGAAAUUAUAAAAACAGCAAGGUAGCAAGUGAUAAAAGUGAGCGUAAACGGUAUUGCAAUGCUAGUAAACAAGGCCUAGGGUUCAUACUUUUGCUAGUGCAAGUCCUCUCAACAAUAAUAAUAUAAUUCGAUCACAUAACUUUCCCUCAACAUGCAACAAAGAGUCACUCCAAAGCCACUAAUAGCGGAGAACGAACGAAGAGAUUAUGGUAGGGUAUGAAACCACCUCAAAGUUAUUCUUUCCAAUCAAUCCGUUCGGCUAUUCCUAUAAGUGUCACAAACAGCCCUAGAGUUCGUACUAGAAUAACACCUUAAGACACAAAUCAACCAAAACCCUAAUGCCACCUAGAUACUCCAAUGUCACCUCAAGUAUCCGUGGGUAUGAUUAUACGAUAUGCAUCACACAAUCUCGGAUUCAUCUAUUCAACCAACACAUAGAACCUCAAAGAGUGCCCCAAAGUUUCUACCGGAGAAUCACGAUGAAAACGUGUGCCAACCCCUAUGCAUUGGUUCAUGGGCGGAACCCGCAAGUUGGUCACCAAAACAUACAUCAAAUGAAUCACGUGAUAUCCCUUUGUCACCACAGAUAUCCACGACAAGACAUACAUCAAGUGUUCUCAAAUCUUUAAAGACUCAAUCCGAUAAGAUAACUUCAAAGGGGAAACUCAAUCCAUUACAAGAGAGUAGAGGGGGGAAGAAACAUCAUAGGAUCCAAAUAUAAUAGCAAAGCUCGCGAUACAUCAAGAUCAUAUCACCUCAAGAAUAGGAGAGAGAGAGAGAUCAAACAUAUAGCUACCGGUACAUAGCCUCAGCCCCGAGGGAGAACUACUCCCUCCUCGUCAUAGAGAGCACCGGGAUGAUGAAGAUGGCCACCGGAGAGGGAUUGCCCCCUCCGGCAGGGUGCAGGAACGGGUCUAGAUUGUUUUUUGGCGGCUAUGGAGGCUUCUGGUGGCGGAACUCCCGAUCUAUUGUGUUCUUGGAUGUUUUUAGGGUAUAUGGUGAUAUAUAGGCGGAAGAAAUACGUCAGGGGGGCCACGAGGGGCUCACGAGGGUGGAGGGAACGCCCCCUGCCUCGUGACCUCCUCGCAGAUCCCUCGACGUGCACUCCAAGUCUUCUGGGAUUCUUUCCUUCCAGAAAUGAGUUCCGUGAAGUUUCAGGUCAAUUGGACUUCGUUUGAUUUUCCUUUUCUUCGAACCCCUAAAACAGGGUAAAAACAGAAACUGGCACUGGGCUCUGGGUUAAUAGGUUAGUUCCAAAAAUGAUAUAAAAGUGUAUAAUAAAGCCCAUAAACAUUCAAAACAGUAAAUAAUAUAGCAUGGAGCAAUCAAAAAUUAUAGAUACGUUGGAGACGUAUCAGCAUCCCCAAGCUUAAUUCCUGCUCGUCCUCGAGUAGGUAAAUGAUAAAAACAGAAUUUUUGAUGCGGAGUGCUACUUGGCAUAAUUUCAAUGUGAUUCUUCUUAAUUGUGGUAUGAAUAUACAGAUCCGAAAGAUUCAAGACAAAAGUUCUUAUUGACAUAAAAAUUAUAAUACUUCAAGCAUACUAACUAAGCAAUUAUGUCCUCUCGAGAUAACAUGGCCAAAGAAAGUUCAUCCCUACAAAAUCAUAUAGUUUAGUCAUGCUCCAUUUUCGUCACACAAAAAUGCUCUCAUCAUGCACAACCCCGAUGACAAGCCAAGCAAUUGUUUCAUACUUUAGUAAUCUCAAACCUAUAAACUUUCACGCAAUAUAUGAGCGCGAGCCAUGGGUAUAGCACUAUGGGCGGAAUAGAAUAAUGAGGGGGUUAUGUGGAGAAGACAAAAAGGGAGAAAGUCUCACAUCAACGAGUCUAAUCAAUGGGCUAUGGAGAUGCCCACCGAUUGAUGUUAAUGCAAGGAGUAUGGAUUUCCAUGCAACGGAUGCACUAGAGCUAUAAAUGUAUGAAAGCUCAACAAAAGAAACUAGUGGGUGUGCAUCCAACUUGCUUGCUCACGAAGACCUAGGGCACUUGAGGAGGCCCAUUGUUGGAAUAUACAAGCCAAGUUCUAUAAUGAAAAAUUCCCACUAGUAUAUGAAAGUGAUAACAUGAGAGACUCUCUACUAUGAAGAUCAUGGUGCUACUUUGAAGCACAAGUGUGGUAAGGAAUAGUAGCAUUGUCCCUUCUCUCUUUUUCUCUCAUUUUUUAUUUGGCCUUCUUUUUUUAUGGCAUUUCUCUUUUUUAGGGCCUUCCCUUUUUUUGGCCUUUCUCUUUUUUUAUUCCUCACUUGGGACAAUGCUCUAAUAAUGAUGAUCAUCACACUUCUAUUUAUUUACAACUCAAUGAUUACAACUCGAUACUAGAACAAAGAUGACUCUAUAUGAAUGCCUUCGGCGGUGUACCGGGAUAUGCAAUGAACCAAGAGUGACAUGUAUGAAAGAAUUAUGAACGGUGGCUUUGCCACAAAUACGAUGUCAACUACAUGAUCAUGCAAAGCAAUAUGACAAUGAUGAUGCGUGUCAUAAUAAACGGAACGGUGGAGAGUUGCAUGGCAAUAUAUCUCGGAAUGGCUAUGGAAAUGCCAUAAUAGGUAGGUAUGGUGGCUGUUUUGAGGAAGAUAUAAGGAGGUUUAUGUGUGAAAGAGCGUAUCAUAUCACGGGGUUUGGAUACACCAGCGAAGUUUGCGCCAACUCUCAAUGUGAGAAAGAGCAAUGCACGGUACCGAAGAGGCUAGGAAGGAUGGAAGGGUGAGAGUGCGUAUAAUCCAUGGACUCAGCAUUAGUCAUAAAGAACUCACAUACUUAUUGCAAAAAUCUACAAGUCAUCAAAAACCUCGGCACUACGCACAUGCUCCUAGGGGGAUAGAUUGGUAGGAAAAGACCAUCGCUCAUCCCCGACCACCACUCAUAAGGAAGACAAUCAAAUAACACCUCAUGUUUCGAAUUUGUUACACAACGUUUACCAUACGUGCAUGCUACGGGACUUGCAAACUUCAACACAAGCACUUCUCAAUUCACAACUACUCAACUAGCACGACUUUGAUAUUAUUACCUCCAUAUCUCAAAACAAUCAUCAAGCAUCAAACUUCCCUUAGUAUUCAAUAUCUAUAUGAAUGUUUUUUACUAUUCUUGGAUGCCUAGCAUAUUAGGAUUUUAAGCAAAUUACCAUGCUAUUUAGGACUCUCAAAAUACCUAAGUGAAGCAUGAUAGUUCAUCUAUUUCUUCAAAAUAAAACUACCACCAUGCUCUAAAAGAUAUAAGUGAAGCACUAGAGCAAAUGACAAACUACUCCGAAAUAUAUAAGUGAAGAUCAAUGAGUAGUCGAAUAAUUAUGCAACUAUGUGAAGACUCUCUAACAAUUAAUAAUUUCAGAUCUUGGAUUUUAUUCAAACAGCAAGCAAAACUAAAUAAAAUGAAAUGACGCUCCAAGGAAAACACAUAUCAUGUGGUGAAGAAAAAUAUAGCUCCAAGUAAAGUUACCGAUGAACGAAGAUGAAAGUGGGGAUGCCUUCCGGGGCAUCCCCAAGCUUAGGCUCUUGGUUAUCCUUUAAUAUUACCUUGGGGUGCCUUGUGCAUCCCCAAGCUUAGGCUCUUGCCCCUCCUUAUUCCAUAGUCCAUCGAAUCCUUACCCAAAUUUGAAAACUUCACAACACAAAACUUAACAGAAAACUCGUAAGCUCCAUUAGUAUAAGAAAGUAAAUAACCACUUCAAGAUACUGUAAUGAACUCAUUAUUUAUUUAUAUUGGUGUUAAACCUACUGUAUUCCAACUUAUCCAUGGUUUAUAAACUAUUUUUCUAGCCAUAGAUUCAUCAAAAUAAGUAUACAACACAUGAAAAACAGAAUCUGUCAAAAACAGAACAGUCUGUAGUAAUAUGGAUCAAACGUAUACUUAUGGAACUCAUAAAAUUCUAAAAUAAAUUUCCGGACCUGAAUAAUUUAUCUAUUAAUCAUAUAAAAAAUAAUUAACUAAAGAGCAUUCUCCAAAUAAAAAUGGCAGCAAUUCUCGUGAGCGCUAAAGUUUCUGUUUUUUACAGCAUGAUCAACAAGACUUUCCCCAAGUCUUCCCAAAGGUUCUACUUGGCACAACAACUAAUUAAAAGCAUAAAACCACAUCUAAACAGAGGCUAGAUGAAUUAUUUAUUACUAAACAGGAGCAAAAAGCAAGGAACAAAAAUAAAAUUGGGUUGCCUCCCAACAAGCGCUAUCGUUUAACGCCCCUAGCUAGGCAUGAUGAUUUCAAUGAUGCUCACAUAAAGAAUAAGAAUUGUAACAUAAAGAGAGCGUCAUGACAAAUAUGACUAGCACAUUUAAGUCUAACCCACUUCCUAUGCAUAGGGAUUUUUUGAGCAAACAACUUGUGGGAACAAGAAUCAACUUGCAUUAGAAGGAAAAACAAGCAUAACUUUGAAACUUUAAGCACAUAGAGAGGAAACUUGAUAUUAUUGAGAUUCCUACAAGUAUAUAUUCCUCCCUCGUAAUAAUUUUCAGUAGCAUCAUGAAUGAAUUCAACAAUAUAAACAUCACACAAAGCAUUCUUUUCAUGAUCUACAAGCAUAGAAUUUUUAUUACUCUCCACAUAAGCAAAUUUCUUCUCAUGAAUAAUAGUGGGAGCAAACUCAACAAAAUAACUAUCAUGUCAGGCAUAAUCCAAUUGAAAACUAAAAUCAUGAUGACAAGUUUCAUGGAUAUCAUUAUAAUUUAUAUCAUACAAGUCAUCACAAUAAUCAUCAUAGAUAGCAACUUUGUUCUCAUAAUCAAUUGGAACCUCUUCCGGAAUAGUGGAAUCAUUACUAAAUAAAGUCAUGACCUCUCCGAAACCACUUUCAUCAACAUAAUCAUCAUAAAUAGGAGGCAUGCUUUCAUCAUAAUAAAUUUGCUCAUCAAAACUUGGGGGACAAAAAAUAUCAUCUUCAUCAAACAUAGCUUCCCCAAGCUUGUGGCUUUGCAUAUCAUUAGCAUCAUAGAUAUUCAAGGAAUUCAUACUAACAACAUCGCAAUCAUGCUCAUCAUUCAAAUAUUUAGUGCCAAACAUUUUAUAGAUUUCUUCUUCUAGCACUUGAGCACAAUUAUCCUUUCCAUCAUACUCACGAAAGAUAUUAAAAAGGUGAAGCGUAUGAGACAAACUCAAUUCCAUUUUUUAUAGUUUUCUGUUAUAAACUAAACUAGUAAUAAAACAAGAAACUAAAAGACUCGAUUGCAAGAUCUAAAGAUAUACUUCAAGCGCUAACCUCCCCGGCAACGGCGCCAGAAAAGAGCUUGAUGUCUACUACACAACCUUCUUCUUGUAGACAUUGUUGGGCCUCCAAGUGCAGAGGUUUGUAGGACAGUAGAAAAUUUCCCUCAAGUGGAUGACCUAAGGUUUAUGAAUCCGUAGGAGGCGUAGGAUGAAGAUGGUCUCUCUCAAGCAACCGUGCAACCAAAUAACAAAGAGUCUCUUGUGUCCCCAACACACCCAAUACAAUGGUAAAUUGUAUAGGUGCACUAGUUCGGUGAAGAGAUGGUGAAACAAGUGGUAUAUGGAUAGUAGAUAAAGGUAUUUGUAAUCUGAAAUUAUAAAAACAACAAGGUAGCAAGUGAUAAAAGUGAGCGUAAACGGUAUUGCAAUGCUAGUAAACAAGGCCUAGGGUUCAUACUUUCAUUAGUGCAAGUCCUCUCAACAAUAAUAAUAUAAUUGGAUCACAUAACUUUCGCUCAACAUGCAACAAAGAGUCACUCCAAAGUCACUGAUAGCGGAGAACGAACGAAGAGAUUAUGGUAGGGUAUGAAACCACCUCAAAGUUAUUCUUUCCAAUCAAUUCGUUCGGCUAUUCCUAUAAGUGUCACAAACGGCCCUAGAGUUCGUACUAGAAUAACACCUUAAGACACAAAUCAACCAAAACCCUAAUGUCACCUAGAUACUCCAAUGUCACCUCAAGUAUCUGUGGGUAUGAUUAUACGAUAUGCAUCACACAAUCUCAGAUUCAUCUAUUCAACCAACACAUAGAACCUCAAAGAGUGCCCCAAAGUUUCUACCGGAGAAUCACAAUGAAAACGUGUGCCAACCCCUAUGCAUAGGUUCAUGGGCGGAACCCGCAAGUUGAUCACCAAAACAUACAUCAAGUGAAUCACGUGAUAUCCCAUUGUCACCACAGAUAUCCACGGCAAGACAUACAUCAAGUGUUCUCAAAUCUUUAAAGACUCAAUCCGAUAAGAUAACUUCAAAGGGGAAACUCAAUCCAUUACAAGAGAGUAGAGGGGGGAAGAAACAUCAUAGGAUGCAAAUAUAAUAGCAAAGCUCACGAUACAUCAAGAUCGUAUCACCUCAAGAACACGAGAGAGAGAGAGAGAGAGAGAGAGAGAGAGAUCAAACACAUAGCUACUGGUACAUACCCUCAGCCCCGAGGGGGAACUACUCCCUCCUCGUCAUGGAGAGCACCGGGAUGAUGAAGAUGGCCACAGGAGAGGGAUUACCCCCUCCGGCAGGGUGCCGGAACGGGUCUAGAUUGGUUUUAGGUGGCUACGGAGGCUUCUGGCGGCGGAACUCCCGAUCUAUUGUGCUCUUGGAUGUUUUUAGGGUAUAUGUUGAUAUAUAGGAGGAAGAAAUAUGUCAGGGGGGCCACGAGGGGCUCACGAGGGUGGAGGGCGCGCCCAGGGGAGUGGGCGCACCCCCCUGCCUCGUGACCUCCUCACAGAUCCUCUGACGUGCACUCCAUGUCUUCUGGGCUUCUUUCCUUCCAAAAAUGAGUUCCGUGAAGUUUCAGAUCAAUUGGACUCCGUUUGAUUUUCCUUUUCUCCGAACCCCUAAAACAGGGUAAAAACAGAAACUGGCACUGGGCUCUGGGUUAAUAGGUUAGUCCCAAAAAUGAUAUAGAAGUGUAUAAUAAAGCCCAUAAACAUUCAAAACAGUAAAUAAUAUAGCAUGGAGCAAUCAAAAAUUAUAGAUACGUUGGAGACAUAUCAAUCAAUGCCCUAGACUACCGGGGCCACCGGAUGGGUGCUUGAUCUAGAGACCGCCCGAGGGGGGGCACCCUACAUGCGUGUGACCCAUGCAUAUGCAUGCAGGAGUGGUAUGCUAUUUGAAUAAGCAACACACUUCCUUGAUGUGGCACAUGCCUCACAAACCACACACACGGGACGGGAACUUCGAGGACCGGCUAUGUUCGUCUGUGAGACAGAGUCUCCGGUGGGUGAUCCCGUGAUAGAACGGGCCUAGACUUGGUCUUUCAUCUCGCGAUGACAUGCACUAACAUGAAGAAGCAGUUAUUCACCGUGGCCUACACCCUCUCGGUGCCGAACAACGCCCUAGCUAGACCGCCGGGNNNNNNNNNNNNNNNNNNNNNNNNNNNNNNNNNNNNNNNNNNNNNNNNNNNNNNNNNNNNNNNNNNNNNNNNNNNNNNNNNNNNNNNNNNNNNNNNNNNNNNNNNNNNNNNNNNNNNNNNNNNNNNNNNNNNNNNNNNNNNNNNNNNNNNNNNNNNNNNNNNNNNNNNNNNNNNNNNNNNNNNNNNNNNNNNNNNNNNNNNNNNNNNNNNNNNNNNNNNNNNNNNNNNNNNNNNNNNNNNNNNNNNNNNNNNNNNNNNNNNNNNNNNNNNNNNNNNNNNNNNNGUGUGGCCCAUGCAUAUGCAUGCAGGAGUGGUGUGCUAUUUGAAUAAGCAACACACCUCUUUGACAUGGCACGUGCCUCACAAACCACACAGAUGGGCAGGAACGUCGAGGACCGGUUGUGUUCGUCUGCGAGAUAGAGUCUUCGGUGGUGAUCCCGUGACAGAACGGGCCUAGACUUGGUCUGUCAUCUCACGAUGACAUGCACUAACAUGAAGAAGCAGUAAUUCCCUGUGGCCUAGCCCCUCUAGGUGCCGAACAACGCCCUAGACAUCGGGGCUACCGAAGGGGUGCUGGUCUCUAGAACCGGGCGAGGCCCAUCUGAAAAAGAAAACAUAAGACGGUAAUUAUGAUGUGCUAAGGUUGUUUGCCAAGCAUGGAAGAAAACAAACAAAAAAAGUAUAAUACAUAUUAUCAAGAAUGCACAAGAAGGAAAAAGAUAUAAGUUAGAUGCUUUACCGAGAUGGUCUCUCGGAAAAAGUGGCCAUUACCGAGGGCUGGUGGCUGACCCUCGGUAACCACUAUCGGUGCGGCGCUCGGAAAAGCCCCUGGGAUCUAGGUUAAGACUUUUAUCGAGUGUCGCUAAAAGUUGGCUCUCGGAAAUGUUUCCCGCGGGGACUAAUGCAAAAUUUCCCCCUCGCGCGCGCUCACUCCUCUCUUCUCUUUGUUUCUCUCGCCCCCUCUGUCCGCCGCCGCCCCUUAGCGCCGCCGCCGCCACCGGGAGUGCCUCCCCUGACCCCUCCACCUCCACCUAUCCCCCCAUCACCACCUCCACCGAGCUCGUCCACCGCCACCAUCUCGGCCAAGCUUCACCGAGCACCGCCAGUGCGGCAUCCCCUCCACCGAGCUCUACCACGUCCGGCAUCCACCUCCCCCGCCGUCCCCCUGCCCUGUUGGUGAGCCCCUACUCAAUCUCAUUUUUUAAAAAUAAAAGGGGUUUUCCCCCUCUCCAUUACAACAAAUGUUGUAUAUAUAUAUAUGCAUAGUGAAUAAUGUGUGUGAGUGUGUGCUUUGUAUGUGUGUGUGUCAGUGAGUGAUGUUGGUGUAUGUGUGGGUGGAUGUGCUAUUGAUGUGUGUGUGUGAGAGUGAUGUUGGUGUGUGUGUGUGUGGGUGGAUGUGCUAUUGAUGUGUGUGUGUGUGUGUGAGUGAUGUUGGUGUGUGGGGUGGUGAGUGCUAUUGGUGUGUGGGUGUGUGUGUUGUGGGUGAGAUUUGAUUGACAUGUGAUUGACACUACUCUUUCUUUCAUGUAGGACAUGCAUCUAUUUUGACAAUAGAGAGAGUGAAUUCCGUUGCAUGCUUCAAGGGUAAUCUCUUCCCGUUCAUGUGUAGGUUCUCAUUAUUUAUAGUCACCUAAAUAGUCGCGUAACCUAGGUGUCUCCCGUUCGGAAGGGUUGUAUCUAUAAAUAUGCAAGUCUUUGCAUUUAUAACCUCAACUCUUUCGAAUUGUCCACGUUUUCCAUGGACAACCCGAGGAUGUGUAGGCGGGUCGUUUUCAUGAUGUACUUCGAUCCGAGACAAAAUUUCGAAAGUGUCUCCUUGUUGUUCUCUAGAUACACAUCCUCUUGGCUUAUUGCUGAGACGUGCAUUUGGAGAACAACGGGGAGGUGCUGCCAAAAUUUUGUCUCGGGUCGGAGUACGGCAUGGAAGCGGACCCAGCCUACACAUUCUCGGGUGGGAUUGGGACCUAUCUUUACCUAUUACAUAGCUCAGUGCAUGUCGUAAAACUUGAUGGAACCACUUGUUACAUAAAAAAGUGUGUGUCUGUUUCACUUUAUAUCAGAGGAUGGAAGAACGUGAGUGGAUGUACAGCGGACAUCCCAGCAUGGAGGGUAUGACCCUUGAGUGGAGGUUGAAGACCAAUGAUUUCCUGGAAUUAGUAUUUGCUGGAGAAACACUAAUUCGUGGAAUUUUGUGCCCAUGCACGGAGUGUGAUAACCAGACCGAAAGAGAUAAGAUUACUAUGAGUAAACACUUAGGCAAAUAUGGGGUUACACCAGGCUAUUACUGGUGGAUCUUUCACAGUGAGACAAAAUAGUCCAGGGCAGAGGUGGUGCGACAAUGCACCAGCGAAUAUGAUACUCGGAGUGAAAACCUGUUAGAUGACAUCCGCCCUGCGGAUCCGCGGGAGGGCCCAAACUCCGAGGAGCCGCCGGAAAGCCCUAAAGAGUAUCAUGCAGCUUUGUUUGCGGCACAGAAACCCCUUCACACCCAUACAGAGGUUACUCAACUAGAUGGCAUUGCACGCCUAAUGGCCCUGAAGGCAAACAAUAACAUGAGCAUAAUUUGCUUCUAUGAGUUAUUGUCUGUUAUUGCUAGCCUGUUGCCUAAAGAAAAUAUAAUGCCAAAGAACAUGUACGAGUCGAACAAAAUCCUCGGUUCCCUAAAGAUGUCGUAUGAACAAAUACAUGCUUGUCCAAACAGAUGCAUGUUAUUUAGAAAUGAACAUAAAGAUACGAAUUAUUGUGUCAAGUGCAAAUCCUCUAGGUAUAUUGAGGUAAUAGAUGAUGAUGGUAGCAAGAGGCAACUCACAAAUGCCGUCAAUAUCCUUCGAUAUCUUUCAUUCACAGAAAGGAUCCAGAGGCUUUAUAUGACCGAGGAAACUGCCCAAUAUAUGAGAUGGGCCGCCGAAGGGAAGAUGUAAAAUACAAAAAAGAUGCAACAUUCAUGGGAUGGUGAAGCAUGGAAGAAAUUUGUUGAAAUUCAUAAGAAAACAGAUGACUGGAAGAGUGUAGCUGUUGGGAUAACAACCGACGGGUUCAAUCCAUAUGGUUUGAUGAUUUCCAUAUACAGUUGUUGGCCAGUAUAUGUUAUCCCCGUGAAUCUGCCCCCUGGAGUUUGCAUGCAACGACAUCACAUGUUCCUGAUGUUGAUAAUUCCAGGUCCUAACUUUCCCGGGAAGCAUAUGAGUGUGUACAUGGAGCCAUUGGUGGACGACUUACUUGCUGCUUGGAACAAUGGGGUCCAGACAUACGAUGCCGUUUCAAAGAAGCACUUCAAUAUGCAUAUCUGGUACCACACAUCGCUACAUGACCUACCGACACAUGCGAUAUUUUGUGGUUGGUGUGUAAAGGGGAAGUGGCCUUGCCCGGUGUUUCGACAACGUGUGAUUUUCAUUUGGCUGGCUAAGGGUCACAAGUAUGCAUGCUUUGACCAACAUUGAUAGUUCCUUCGUCUUGAUCACCCAUACAGACAAGACACUGUGCACUUCCAAAAUGGUGUUAUUGUUGAUGACCCGCCACCACCUAUUAUGACCGGUGCCCAGCUUAAGGAUGAGUUAGAUGCUCUUGAGGAAAAUCUUGAUGGGAAAGGUUUUGUGGGAUAUGGAGAGACACACCAUUGGACUCACAUCCCAAGCUUAUGGAGGCUCCCUUACUUUAAAGAUCUUCUACUUCCACACAACAUUGAUGUAAUGCACACUAAAAAGAAUAUUACGGAGGCCUUACUCGGCACGCUCCUCAACACCGUGAAAUCAUAGGAUAACAUUCAGGCUAGGAUUAAUCAAGCCCAACUAUGCAACAUGCCAAAAUUAAAUUUGGUGCCUCGUACAAAAGGUAAUUCUUGGAAGAAGCCACAAGCCCCUUUCACCCCUUCAAUGCCCCAAAGGAAGGAAAUUCUCCAAUGGAUUGUGAACAACUUGUAUUUCCCUGAUUGAUAUGCAGCUAAUAUCAUGAGGGGAGUGAAUAUGUCUACAAAGCAAAUAGGAGGCCUCAAGAGUCAUGACUGCCAUGUAUGGCUUGAGCGGAUAAUGCCUAUGAUGAUUCGAGGGUAUGUCAGAGAGGAUAUUUGUCGAGUGCUAGCGGAGUUGAGCUACUUCUUCCGUCAGCUUUGUGCCAAAGAACUAGAUUAUGAAGUGGUUGCAAAGUUGGAGGAACAAGCGCCUGAGUUGCUAUGCAAGUUAGAGAGGAUAUUUCCGCCAGGUUUCUUUAAUCCGAUGCAACAUAUGAUCUUACAUCUGGCGUAUGAGGCUAUAAUGGGAGGACCUGUGUAGUUCCGAUGGCAGUAUGCACUUGAACGGAAGUUCGAUCAUCUCUGUGGCAAAUGUAAUAAUAAAGCCCGCAUUGAAGCCUCCAUAUCUGAGGCAUACCUGAACGAGGAGGUGGCCACGAGCACGACAAAGUACUAUCAUGACAGUAUUCAGACUAGGUUAAAUCUAGCUCCUCGUUACAAUGAAGAACCCACCAGUAAUGUUUUGACCUUAGCCUUUUCGAAGGCCAAGGUGGCAAAGCAAGUGGAUCGAAGCGCUAGAACUUUUCACCGACUAAGUGGUCUACUAUUAUGAUCUAUGUCUUGACCAACAUGGAAGAAGUGCAACCGUACAUAAAGUAAGUGUAGAACACCUUUAUUGACAACUACUCACUAGUCUUGAGUUCUAACUCGAAUUCUUCCCACUGCUAGGGAAUUCCAAAACAAAUUUUGGAAGCUACCACAGCCCCCUAGCGACGAAGAAUCAGCAAACCUUCUUGAAGAUACCAAUGCUGAUGGCGGUUUCAUUUCUUGGUUCUCAAUAAAAGUAAGUUUUCCAACUUUAUGCUACUUCAAGUUGAUAUUACUUGCUGGUAAUUCUUCCACUAAUGAACCAGACAAUCUCAUAUUAAUCUUGUAGGCAUAUCAAGAGGUUGAUAUGGACGCCAAAGUGAGAGAAGUAGCCAAAGGUUUUGAAUACGACGCCAAGUCAUUUAAGGCUUACAACAUGAAUGGGUAUCGCUUCCACAGUGAUAAGCACACAUGUGAGAGGCCCAACCAAAGGUCAAUAAAUAGUGUGGUCUAUUGUCUAGGGACAGAUAGACGUCACUACUAUGGAACCAUCAAAGAAAUUUAUGAGCUGCAGUAUUGUGGUUUACAAGGAGUGAAGCCCAUCGUAUUCAGAUGCAGCUGGCUCAAUCCUGAGAAAGUGAGAUGAACCCCUAGUAUUGGCUUGGUCGAACUUCAACGAGCAUUGAAAUAUGUAGGAAAUGAUGUCUAUAUUAUGGCUCAACAGGCUACACAAGUGUUUUUUUCUCCCAUACGCGUGCACAUCUACAGAAUAUAUCGACCUCUUGAAAUGGGAUGUCGUGUACAAGGUACCCCUGCGUAUCAAGGUACCUACCCCAAACAAGGACAAUUACCAUAUAAACGCUAACACAUAUGAGGGAGAGCUCUUUCAAGAAGCAGACACUCACGAAGACAAAGAUGAUGCAGAGGAAGAUGAUGACAUGCAUCACGAAGAUGAUGCUAUGGAACAUGAGGCCAUGGAUGACAUGGAAGUAGAUAAUGCAGAGGACGAAUACGAGGAUGUUUCUAACCCUAAACAUUUGGCAUUACUUAUGUGAUGGCACAUGGGGCUAGAUGAUGAUGAGGGCCCCCCUGAAGACUUCAAGGAUGAAUGUAUGAACGGGCGUGAUAGCGAUGAUGAAAGCCCUGAUCCAAAUGUUGCACCUAAUAUUGACCCUUAUUUCUAACAACUCCAUGUAAUCGUGCGAGAACUCUAUGUAUGUGUGUCACAACACUAUGUAUUCGUGUGUGUAACAACUCUAUGUAUUCGUGUGUGCAACAACUCUAUGUAUUCGUGUGUGCAACAACUCUAUGUAUUUUUGUGUGUAACAACAAUAUGUAUUAUUGUGACAAUUCCAUUUAUUCUUCAUAUGUGAUAUAUUUAUUGUAUUUACAUCAAGUUAUAUCAUCUGUACUAAUGGGUUUGUUAUUCUUCAUAUCAGGUGAUUGAAACAUGACAGGUAACAACAAGAAUCCAAAGGAAAGUUUGAAAAAAGUGACAGCUCUGUACAAUGAUCAAAUUGCUCGAUCGGUGAAAGCGGUGGCCGCUCCUUCAUUGGUUGCCACAACAGCCAAGAAGGCCAAAGGAUUGGCAGGUCUAGACACCCGUCCGAAAAAACAUGCGAAAAAAGGUCGAGUACCACGCGGGGGAGGAGUAGGAGGCGAACGAGGUGGAGGCGGACGCGGAGGGGGAGUAGGUGAGGCAGGAGGAGGCAGACGAGGAGGGGGGCGAGGAGUGGGAGUAGGUGAGGCAGGAGGAGGAUGUGGACAAGGAGGUGGAUGAGGAGGGGGAGUAUGUGAGGCAGGAGGAGGAGGCCGACGAGGAGUGGGAGUAGGGGGACAAUGAGUGGGGUAGGAGGGGGAGAAGGGGGACGAGGAGGGGGAGUAGGUGAGGAAGGAGGAGGAGGCGGAUGAGGAGUACGUAAAGGAGCCCGGAGUAGAGCACCUCUUUCUUCUCCUGGACCCUCUGAUGUAGUGCUUCGCCGUUCUCAGGAGGAGGAAACAGAGGAUGGGGAUGAGGCGAGUGAGGAGGAGGACGAGGAGCUGGUGGAGGAUGAGGAGGAGGAGGACGCCACCAAGAGGAGGCUGGUUGUUCGUCAGGUUUCUGAGGGUGGGGAAGGACCCUCAGGGGUGACAGAGCACCACAAGGUGAGAGGCUCGCAACCGAGCGGUUCGACUAUGAGCACUACUUCCAGAGGGAAAGUGUGGCUGUGUGGUCCUUCAAAGCUUCCAAGACGUCCAUAUGUGCAUAGAGACGUGUUGAUUAAACCAAUGGGAGAGAAGUGGUUAUCUCGACUCAUCCCAUAUAAAUUGUACCUUUUGUCAUUUCCUCACAUAUAAUAUGACUUGACUCUUGGUAAUGCAGAAGCUUAGUAAAAGGUGGUGAGUGGCGUCUACCACGGUCGUCGAGUGGCAUCAUUGUGGGUCUUUGUAGGUUAAAUUAUCCUGGACUGGUCACUUUGACGAGCGGUAUCAUUGAGCUAGCUUGGUCAUGGGAUCACUAUACAAACUCGCACCGGAUUUCCUGGAUAUGCGUCAGAGGGUUUAUGAUAACAGAGCCUUGUGAGUGGUCAACGAUUUAUGGGUAAGUCCUUUCAAACACCUAAAUGUCAAUACCAAAAGGUUUAAAUUUUCCAUAGUCAUGAUUUUACCCUUCUCACAUGUAUGCAUGUUUGUAGGAUUAGAAGGAUCGUGCGUUUAGGGUUAGAAGGAUCGUGCAAAUGUGGUGGUUGAGAAUAUUGCCAAGAAACUAGUCCACGACAUGCACUAUGAGGAGCACGUCCAGUUAGUGGUCAAGUAUCAUGCGGACUAUCUCAACCAGAAGAUUUCCAAACAGGAGGCUCGAGGGAAGCAUCUUUCACGGGACAAUUACUUCAAGGCAAGUGACGAUGGAAGCUUGCUAUUCCCUACAUUACCGCAAAAUUAGAAUUCUUACUAAGAUGUAUUUGUUUAAUUUACAGGUGAUUCCUCGAUGGUGCGCUGAUAAACGCCCGUGCUGGGAGAAGAUCGUCGAACCGUGGACAAAUCCAGGGUGGCAGGAUGAACACAAAGCAUUAUCUGAACGUCGUAAGUAGAUGGGUUGUCCAGGACACCGUCAAGGCAACCUCACCAUCCCAGGUGUCAUCUCAAAACAUGUAGGCAACCACAUCCUUUUCUUUUCAUCAUGUUCUCUUUCAUUUGUGAGCAUUCCCUUGAUUUUUUGGAUCGCUUUCUUUUGCAGAAAGAAGACACUGGCAAGGAUAUCACUUACUUCGAGGCAUGGACCAUCAAACGUACCAAAGACGACAAGGACAAGGACCCUCUCCACCCGGAGAGGGACUCGAUCAGCUCUAAAGCCUGCUCAGAUGGAGAGAACUACACCAAAAAAUUGAAGGAGACGUACGGGCAAGACGCUGACCCUCUUGUGGCCAUUGCCACGGCAGGCGGUAGACCGAAUGGCCGGAUGGCGGUUCACCUUGAUUCUGUCAUAACCUCCUCCCUUCCAAGAGUCAACACGCUCCGUGCUAUGAGUACUGGCUCUACUCCUACUGUAGAGCGUCACGUACCACAUUCCGUGAGCAUUAUUGAGGAUAUUCAGGUCAGUGCUUCUUCAUUGAUCCUUCAUAGUCCUGCAUAUUUACAUUUCAACAUGAAUGACAUUUGGAUUGCCAUAUUGUAGAAUCGAUUCAUUGACACCGAGAAAGAACGAGACGAAACCGGGCCAAGCUGAAGGCACAAGAUGAUCUAGUGAAGUCUUUACAACAUAUGGUGGCCAAUCUUUAUUCCAUGCAAGGCCAACCAGUGCCAGAGAUGGCACCGACGCCAGAUUGGAACAUUGUGAGUUUCGUUCAAACUAUUUCCAUCACCAUUUUCGGCAUCACCAUAUGCAUUCAUCUCACUAUUGGGUCAAUCCAUCACAGCUCAACCUAACACAAGGGUUGAACAAUGUUCCGAUAGUUCCACCUCAAGUUGGUGUAGUUGGGGCAGCAAACGGAAUGACGCCUUCUAAUGUUAAUGUUAUCACUCCGAUCUCCAAAAUCGCGUGAAUUUCAUGUUAUCUUCUGUUUGAAACCGUUCCUUGUAUGUGCUUGAGAACUCUUGCAUCUUGAGACUUGUAAACUUGUGGUAGUCGAGUGUCUUGACUACUAUUUCACCUUUUAUGCACUGUUGCUUUUAUGUGGAAUGUUUUUCAGAAUCAUUGCUUUUUUUGUUCAAUGAUGCCUAUAUGUGACAUGUUCUAUGUGGGAUGAACUAUAUGUUGCUUCUGUAUAUGUUUCGCUGCAGGAAAGAAACAAAAAUGAAAAAGGCUUCUGGCACACCAUUACCGAGGGUGCCUCUCGGUAACGACUAUGAAACUGGACCAGCAUGCACCCUUUACCAAGAGGAAUCUCGAUAAAAGUGUACCAACCAGUAGAACCUGGCACUUUUACCGAGAGGAUAAUAACCUGUAGUGCUCCUAACAACUUUACCGAGAGGACUCUCGGUAAAGAUAAAAGGAUUGCCGAUGGUGGCCCUCGGUAAAGUAUGGGCACAACUUUUAGGACAAGUGACGUGGCCCUCCCCUAUGGGCUCAGUUUGUCCAGAGGAGCACUCGGCACAGAUGGAGUUUGCCGACGGUGGCUCUCGGCAAAGUCGGCCCUCGGCUUGUUCUCGUGGACCCACAUGUCGAGGGAUGACACGUGUCAGCCUCCUAUUUGGUCUAUUUGCCGAGAGACCCUCUCGUUAAAAUUGGCCCUCGGCCUGUUCUCCUGGGCCCACAUGUCGGGGGAUGACAUGUGUCAGCCUCCUACUGGUUCUCUUUGCCGAGAGCCCCUCUCGGGAAAGUUGGCCCUCAGCCUGUUCUCGUGGUCCCACAUGUCAGGAGAUGGCACAUGUCAGCCUCCUAUUCAGUCUGUUUGCCGAGAGCCCCUCUCGGCAAAGUUGGCCCUUGGCCUGUUCUCCUGGGCCCACAUGUCGGGAGCUGACACGCGUCGACCUGCUAAUGGCUCUCUUUGCCGAGAGGGGCUCUCGACAAAGUUGGCCCUCGGCCUGUUCUCCUGGUCCCACAUGUCAGGAGCUGACACAUGUCGACCUGCUAUUGGCUCUCUUUGCCGAGUGGUGCUCUCGGCAAAGUUGGCCUAUGUGGCAACCGCCAUCCCCGUCUGUUUUUCGUUAGCUACUUUAUUUUGCCGAGCUGUACUGUUUAGCUCUCGGCAAAGACUUUGCCGAGUGCCCGUGUUCUGGUUCUCGGCAAAUUCCUAUUUGCCGGAGAGGUGUACGCCGGGUUGCUUUUGCCGAGGGGGACACUCGGCAAAGGCUUUGCUGACAGAUUUUGGCCCUUUGCCGAGUGUCCGUGGCACCCGGCGUACAACAGAAUUCCAGUAGUGCGUAAGGAAGGUACAUUAGUCAUAUCUGCUUUCAUGAGUAUAAGGGAAUCAUCAGCGAUGGUGCAUUCUUGUAACCUCUAAUCACCAUAAUCCAAUUCAUGGCAUCAACUUCCCCAAAACAACAGUAAACUUGAUAAAGCUUCUGCACACAAAUGUGACAAGGCGAGAGGAGGUCUACUUGCCUAAUAUCAGGUGUUGGGUGUGAAUCUGUAAGGUUGUUGAGAGUUAGGAUGGGAGAAAGUUGCCUGAUUUGUUUUUUUUUCCUGCAGAACAUAAAAGUCCGCCCCGUCUUCUGCCACUAGGGUCCACAAUUUUAACAUCCAUCUUCAACAGCUUGCGUAAAAUAAAAAUAAAAAAGUAAUUAUGUUUCGGAACCAGGAAAAACCAGAUUGAUGUGCGUGUUCAUUUUCAAAAUUACAAUAGCACUAAAGAGUCGUCUGGUAAUCAUUGUGUGUGUGUGUGUGUGUGUGUGUGUGUGUGUGUGUGUGUGUGUGUGACAAAAACAACACCUUGGAAAUUGCUGGUUUAUUACCUAGACCCCGGGCCGAUGGUGGAAGAAGUGAAAGGUCUGCUCCGAACCAGUAAGGAGUUUAGGGUAGUUUGCGUGCGUCGUUCGGCUAAUAACAUGGACCUGGCUAGCGAGCGGCUGGGCACUCGUUCGCAAGAUCGAGUACACCUGCUGUUUUGGGAAAGAGAGGAAAGAAUCUGGAGAUACGCCAGAAAAAGGAAAGAACCGAGGGCACAUGGUCCCCUCGCGUCGCGCACGCACAAACCAGCGCAUGCCCACCCGAACCAUGCGCCUCACCUGGUCCCCCUCUCCGCUCCAACGCCAAGUCCCCAGUGCUCCAGCCCGUCGCCCUUCCCUCUCCUUCUCCCACCUAACCCUCUCAUGAAUCGUCUGUCCUUAAGAUUUUACUACUAGUAAAAAGCUUGGCAACCAUAGCGCCUUGAACAAAGCUUCUUUCCCUCCUCCCCAAAAUGCGCCGAUCAAAUUGCAGCAAAAAUCAGGUGACAAAACACACCCCUCUCCAUCCCUUCCCCAUCCUCCCCUUUUCACCCUUUUAAUUACUGGGAAUACUUGAACAACAAAAAAGAAUAGGUUGAUGAUCAAUAAAAACUUGAUUUGGCUCUUUUCACACAUAUAGAUAAGCAAUUGGACAAAAACACAAUUGCCUGCAAGAACUUGAAAAGACACCUAUCAAAAAUCUAGGCAACUAUGUACCAAAAGUAGAGAGCCUAUAAAAAUAGUUCAUGCAUGUAUGCGCCAUGGAUCACGUUGUUUUCAAAGGCUUGAAACCACACAAGGCAACUUUACCUGUGAUUUCGCACAACCCGUAUUAAAAAUUUGAAGCAGCUAUUAUCAGGCAUGUAAAAAGGACUGCUGCCCCAUAUAAAUUCCUUGUGGUAAAAAUACCAUGCAACCAUGUGCAGAAGUAGAACAAAUGCAGCAACUUUGUGAUUUCAGGCAACUCAUGCUAAAAUUUGAAGCAACUAAAAAGGAUGGCUGCUGCCCCUAUAAGCUCCUUGCAAUAAUACCAGGCAACCCUUGUACAAAAAAAAACCCACAAAACAACAAGUAGAGGACAACAUAUAUAGGUGGCAGUAACACAAAUAUAUAGGUGCAUUAUAUACACAAGUAUAAAAAAAUAAAAAACACGAUCGCAUAUACCAAAGUGUACUAGCCAUAGGUUUGCAAUGGCUACUAUUUUCUUCCCUGACAUGGAACCUAAAACACAAUAUGGACUGAAAAAAGACUUCACAUACCACUAGGUCGGCACUACACCUCCAAGAAUUCAUCGCACUAUAACCUCUAUGGAAAAGAGAAGAAAUAAAAAUUCAUUGAUCUUGGCGGUAAAAAAUGUUGAUGAAAAAAAGAACACUUGUAUAGAAAAUGCACAAAAAACAGGCAAUCAUUAAAUAAUCUAGAAAACNNNNNNNNNNNNNNNNNNNNNNNNNNNNNNNNNNNNNNNNNNNNNNNNNNNNNNNNNNNNNNNNNNNNNNNNNNNNNNNNNNNNNNNNNNNNNNNNNNNNNNNNNNNNNNNNNNNNNNNNNNNNNNNNNNNNNNNNNNNNNNNNNNNNNNNNNNNNNNNNNNNNNNNNNNNNNNNNNNNNNNNNNNNNNNNNNNNNNNNNNNNNNNNNNNNNNNNNNNNNNNNNNNNNNNNNNNNNNNNNNNNNNNNNNNNNNNNNNNNNNNNNNNNNNNNNNNNNNNNNNNNNNNNNNNNNNNNNNNNNNNNNNNNNNNNNNNNNNNNNNNNNNNGCCCCCUUUCAAAUUCCCCCUUGCCUUUGUUUUUGAAAUAAUCAUGUGGGCAAUGAAAGAACAUGGAUAAAACUCUCUUAAAAAAGGUUAGGAACCAUGGUUGCAACUGUAGUAAAGCAAGUAAUUGUAGUUCCUCAUGGACAUUAGAUCAUACCCCUUUUCACAUAAUCACAUGGGUAGUAGGAACAAAACUGAAGCAACUCUAAUUGUAAUUGCGGGUAACUCAUGCUAAAAACUGGAGAAACUAGUUGCAAACAGUUCCUGACAGUAAGAAUUAAUUGGGGAGUGACACAAGAAUAAGAGAUGAUAGACUAAAGAUAACUGGGAAGAAUCCCCUAUAAAUUUAGUAAAAUGAAACCAACUUUUCUUGCAAUUCCGGGCAACUCAUGUUAAAAAUUGGAGCAACUAAUUGCAGUAGUUCCAUGAAAGUAGGAACCGGUUUGUAGAGUAACAAAUCAAAAAGGUCGGCUCAAGAUCACUGAAUAUAAAGCCCCCAUGUAUUCAACAAAAAUUGAAGCAACUUUAGUUGAAAUUUGCACUCAUUUUAUGGAGUAACAAGAAAUAGAAAAGGCAGACUGAAGAUCAAUGAAUAUAAAGCCCCUAUGUAUUCAGUAAAAACUGAAGCAACUUUAGUUGAAAUUUGCACUCAUUUUGUGGAGUAACAGGAAAUAGAAAAGGUAGACCGAAGAUCACUGAAUAUAAAGCCGCCAUGUAUUCAGUAAAAAUUAAAGCAACUUUAGUUGAAAUUUGCAGACAAACGCGUGCUUGUAACUAAAACAACAAAUUCCGAAACAGUGAGUUUACGACAGUAAAAUCAGUUGUAUCUCAGGCAAAACAAACACCAAAACCCCCUGAGUUGCCUGGAACACAUUCAUUUCAUUUUACAAAGAAAAAUAAAAAGGUGACAGUAGCAUGUAUAUAGGAGCAUUAUAUCACAUAAAAAAGCAAACAUAUGUAGGUGCCAUGGGCUGGUUUCCUUCAGGUGGACAAAGGUUACAAAGAAGAUAGACUGAAGACACACUUUCAGUUUUUGCAUCCUAAAAAAGGAAAUAAACUAUUUUGUAACGUGAAUUUGUUUCCACACCUCUCGAUCUCCACUGCCUAUGUUUUUUGAGAAACUACUGGUAUGGACCGAGAAACUCCCUCUAUCGUGUGAUGCAACUAAUGUUGUAUUUUUUAGAAUUACUUCCUAUGCAUUUCUCUUCGCCCGUUUCGGUUGCCUUCCUUCUUCAUAUUCAUCGUCUCAUCAAAAGUAUAUCUGAAAAACCACGGGUACCUCCUGUUAAUCGACCAUUUCGCCCUGUGAAGCAUCAUGUUGAGCGUCCCUUUCGCUUGUAACUCAAUAUAGAAAAACACAUAAUGCAAAACUGUUCUAGCAAAAGAAAACGAAGCAACUAACCUAGCAAAAACAAGCAAUUGUCCUACCAAAACCAAGAAACUCUCCUAGCAUCACUACUUAGAUUAUCUACAUUAGGUAGAGAAAAAUAUAUGAGCAAGUUGAAUAUCCUUUUAUGGACAACUAUCCAAUCUACUCUCCCCUUCUCAUCUACCUUCUCGUAUGUUGUAGAAAAAAAUCAAAGCAACUCAAUUACAAAAACCACAAAAAGUGGAAAACUAUUCUAGCAGAAACAGGCAGAUAUCCCUAGCAUUACUACUUAGAUUGUCUAUUUUAAGCAGAAAAAGCAUAUGAGCAACUUGAAUAAACUUUGACAACUAUCUUACCCCCUCCCCCAUGUAACUUCUCAUCUGUUCUGGCAAAAAUCCAAACAACUCAACUACAAAAGAACACAAAAAUGAAACUGUUCUAGGAAAAAAAUCCAAGCAACCCUCCUAGCAAAACGAAGCAACUGGAUUACAAAAAGACCAAAUGCAAAAAAAAACUGUUCAGAAUGAAUCCGAGCAAAUUCCCCAGCAAAUCUAAGCAAUUGCGUUAUACCCACAAAAUGCAACUCUUAUAAUGAAAUCCAAGCAACUACUCUGACCCCUAUAGUGAGAAGUCACGUUGUGAAUCCAACACUACCCACCCCUAGUGAAAUCCAAGCAGAAUGUAUGAUAGACUUACACUUGUACAUGUUGUUUUGUUCUGCCCACCAAGUUCCCUGAAACAUGAUCCUUCUAAACAAACGAUAAUACAUGCUAUUUUCUGUACAAUUAUAUUCUAGAAAAUAACUUUUUGGAAACUUAGAUAGUUUGUUAGAAAUCAAACUGCCUGAUGACCCACGUAGUUGCAUUCACAUGAUGCAUGCUUUGACUGAUUCUUUUGUUUAGGAUCACAAAUAUGUGAUCAGUGUCAUUUCAACAUACAAAGCUGACUGCAUGAAGAACCUUGUGUGUAUGCAACAUACAGGAGGGAAUCAACAAAACAAGAGAUGGUGGACAACUAUAAAUGGUUAUCAAUUGGAUCCGAUCUGCGCAUGUAGGAAACAUCAUCCUCAAAGUGCCAUCUGAUCUUGUGAGUAACUCUAACACUAGCGAAAAGCAACCACUUGGCCUGCCGCCGCUCAUUAACAUCUCCUCUCUCGUCAGCUACAAAUUUUUGAGCAACUCUCACAGCCGUAUUUAGAUACUACAUACUACUAGUUCAGUGAAUACAACUUCUGUAGAAAUUUACCCCUCUAGCAGCAAGCCAGCCGUGAACACCAGCCGUGCCCAUCUAGUCGAAGAACGCAGAAGGCCCAGAGCUCCGGGUGCGCCCUAGUGGACACGCACAUGGACUCGUUCGCCCCGACCAACAACUCGGCGUCGCAGAUGUCGCUCCUUCCAUUGCGCCCCGUCCAGGAGCCUUACCUUGAAGGACCACGCCAGCCGGCACCCUCCCGUGGUCUCCAUGGAAUCCUUGAGCACCAACAUCAGCGCCCGUCUAGUGGAGGGAGGUAGGACGGGCUGGCGACCACGGCGCAGGGGACCGAGGGAGCAGGCCCUGCCGGGAGUGGCGUGCAUCCCCAGGAGGAGGGGGUGGUCGGGCGCGUGCUGGGCGUGGCGCUCGUCGCCUGGAGUAGGUAAGAGGAAGCGGCGGCCGGGGGUUUGCUUGGCGCGACGCGCGUAGAAGGGAGGAGGACCAAGCGGCAGCCCCGUAGCCGGGAGGAGGAGCGCGACGGAGGGGCUUGGCCCGGAGGAGCAGCGGGGGCGGUGGUCGUAACUCCAUGCCUCCAUGGAGGAGGCUUGGGGCAGCAGGUGGUGGGUGAGUGGAUAAGGAGUGCGAGGUGGCUGACUUUGUCUAUAGCGCGUGCGCUCAAGAGAAAAUUUAGGUAAUAAGAGCAUCUCCACUCGUUGGCCCCCCAGAGGCAUAAAAAUCGCCUUCUGGGGCCGAGCCGGCGAUAGAAUCGGCACUGGGGGCGAUUGGGCGUCUAGUCGUCGGCUCCGGGCACCGAGAUUGGUCCAGUUUUCGGCCCACUUUCGGCGAAUAAAAGGCCCCAUAUGAGCGACAAUCGGCCCAUAUUCAAUUAUGAACAUAAAUAUUUUUUUUAUUACAUAGUUCAUCACAGAAAAUCAAAUAGUUCAACAAAAUAGUGCAACAACAAAUAGUUCAAUACAAAUUUUAUUAUUCAACAAAUAAAAACUCAUAUUUCAUCACACGUCGAGUCCGGCGUCGCCCUUGAGCCUCCAAAGGUGCUCCACCAGAUCCUGCUGCAGUUGAUGAUGCACCUGUGUGUCUCGGAUCUCCUGAUGGAUACUGAGAUAGGCAGUCCAGGUUCCCGGUAGCUGGUGAUCAACUUUGGCUAGAGGACCCUGCAUGUAGUAUGGUUUAGUGUCAAACACUGGCUCUUCCUGCUCGCUCUCGAUGAUCCUGUUUUGCAAGAUAAUAAAACAAGUCAAGAUCUCCCACAUUUGAUCUUUCGACCACAUUGGAGCACAACAAAAGCCCUCUCGGCAUCCGUCCUGCAAGCCUCCUGCACCUUGGCAAAGUGGGACUUCUUGCCUCCUGGCACAGCGUUUGAGACAGUCUUCACAAAUGUAGACAAUUUCGGAUAGAUGCCAUCAGCUAGGUAGUACCCCUUGUUAUAGUGCCGCCCAUUGACCUCGAAGUUCACCGGAGGAGAAUGACCUUCAACAAGCUUGGCAAAGACAGGAGCGCAUUGCAGCACGUUGAUGUCAUUGUGAGUUCCUAGCAUACCAAAGAAGGAGUGCCAAAUCCAGAGGUCCUGUGCGGCCACCGCCUCAAGUACCACACUGCAACCGCCUUUGGCGCCUUUGUACAUCCCAUGCCAAGCAAAUGGGCAGUUCUUCCAUUUCCAAUACAUGCAGUCGAUGCUUUCAAGAAUCCCAGGAAAUCUUGUUGCUGCAUUCUGUGCUAGGAUCCGAGCAGUGUCUUCCGUAUUAGGGGUUCGCAAGUAUUGCGGUCCAAACACUGCCACCACUACCCGACAGAACUUGUGAAAACACUCAAUGCUGGUGGACCCGGCCAUGCGCCCAUAGUCGUCGAGUGAAUCACCAGGAGCUCCGAAUGCAAGCAUCCUCAUCGCCUUCGUGCACUUCUGGAUCGAGGUGAAUCCAAGUUUGCAUGUGCAAUCUUUCUUGCACUUGAAGUAGUUGUCGAAUUGCCGGAUGGAAUUCACAAUCCUAAGGAAAAGCUUUCGGCUCAUCCGAUAACAGCGCCGAAACGUUUUGUCGCUGUGCAGUGGAGCGUCGGCGAAGUAGUCGGAGUAGAGCAUGCAGUAGCUUUCGAGACGAUGCCGGUUCUUUGCUUUCACCCGCCCCGGCACCGAGCCACCUCACCGCGACUUUUCAUUGCUCGCCAGCAGUUAGGCGAGGGCGGCGAGCACCAUGAGAUUCUCUUCCUCCUGGACGUCAGCCUCGGCUUCCUCCUCCAGUAGCGUGGCGAGCACUUCCUCGUCAUCCGAGUCUAUCUCGCCGAGGGAGGCAAAUCGCCGAACACCUUGCACGCUGGUGGGCGUGUACCCGCCGCUAAACUGCCCCUCCGCGGCAGGAAACGCCCAGCUGCUGGUGGAGGGGCUGCCUCGUGAACCUCUGCUAUUUUUCCGGCGGGAUUGGCUAUCUAGCGGUGAAGGGCGGCGAUCGGCGCCGGGAUACAGCUAGUGGCGGCCGAGGGAGCGGGGGUGGGAGGCGAGAUGGGUAAGAAAGACUUGACUUUUCACCUGACGGGGUGGGCCAGCCGCACUUUUCGCUUAUGCCGGAGCCCCGAUCAUCCCCGAGUGUGCCGGGUUCGGCCUGCGAGCGCUGGACCCAAAAACGGGCCGAACCGGCACUUUUUGACGUCCUGGAGGCGCGACUGGGGCUUUUUUUGUUUGCGCCGGCACCGAAAAAGUUGUCUGGGUGGCUGUUGGGGACGCGACCGGAGAUGCUCUAACAUAGCACAUUGUCUAGCUAGAAGGUUGUGCAAAUGAACUGUGUAAAUCUUGGUUUUCUAGUCCACGGGAUUAUAUUCGUCCGUGUUUAAACUUAGAUCUUGCCACCCCGCAAAAAGAAAACUCAGAUCUUGCCGAGAUGAUUGAAGGCAACAUCUUCAAGCUCAAUAAAAGAAAAAAAAGAGAGAGAAGAACUCGAUCGAACAACCAGUACUAGCCUUAAAAAGGUCGGUUAUGUAACGUUCCUGGAUCCAACUACCGCUCAUUAUUAUAAUUGGCUCAUCACGUCUGCUCCCGGAUCACGCCGCAAUGCCUGCAGGAGGUUGGUCUGAUCUACCGCCGGAUCUGGCCCGCGAUAUCUCCGGCCACCUGCAGCACGAUACCGUCGACUUAGUCCGCUUCCACGCCAUCUGUAAGCCAUGGCGGGACUGCCGGACGAUGACGGCGACGGACCAGUUUCUGCCCUACCUCGUCACGGCGGUGAAGGAAGAAGCGAUGCGCCUCGAGAUGAGGUGCGUCCUCUCCGGGUGCAACUACCGCUCGCAGCCGCUGCUAUCUCAGCUGGCCCGGUGGAACUGGGUGACCAGCCGCGGCGGCACCGCCCUCCGAUGCCUGACCAUCGAACGCCUCCGCCCUAGCCUCCAUCACCCUCUCACAGGGGCCGCCGAACAUCUGCCUCUACUCCCUCAAUCCCUCGGCCUGCGGGAGGAGAUCUUUUCCCACGGCGUCAUCUACGGCAAUGGCGUGACCCUUCUCUACAGUAUCUCCAACAUCACCUGCGCCUGUUAUAGCAUCACCUGCACCUGAUAUAGCAUCACCUCCACGGCUAGGUUCAGGGCGGCUCUACUUCGCCCAAGUGACGCAGACUGGACAAUCCUCGAGAGGACCCUCGAGUAUGAGCAUCGCUUCUGGGGCGGGUCACCUCAUCAACCUGUUCUGUCGUGCGUCACAUACCAUGAUGGUAAGAUCCUGGUUCUCAUUGAGGCUGACAAAUGGUGGCACCGCAUCACACCAAACAGCAAUGUUGCCCGCGAUGAGCUUGUCAAUAGCCAGGGGACGCCGGUGGCGCAGGUGUGGUUUGGCGAAUCCACCAGCGAUUAUAGCUACGUCCUUGAAUCCCAUGGCGAAAUCCUAUGGGUGUCAAUUAACACCCGGGAAUAUGACAGGUAUCUCAUGGAGACAAAGCCCUACCUCCUCAAAGUCAAGGUGUCAGUGCAGGCACUCGAGGAGCCUCUAUUGUCAGAAUCGUCGGCACUGGAGAACAUGAGAUGGGUGAAAAGGGAUGGCCGUAGUCUGGCUGACCGCGUGCUGUUCCUUGGUACGCGCCAUAGCUUUGUUGUGGAUGCGGGGAGGGUGCCCAACGGCCACGGCGGGUGUGCCUACUUCGUCUACCACAAUAAUAACGCCUUUACAUAUGGGAAGCGUGAUGUCUUCAGGUGCAACCUCAUCAAUGGCAGGACCGAGCUUGUACAACGGCUGCCUCAAUGUUGGGACUACAAAAUGUGCAUGUGGUUCAACCCCAAGUCGGUCAUUACUCCUCCCCAGGUACCUCUAUAUACACUGCUAAAAAGGGUUCGAAUUUCUUAAGUUGGAUAUCUCUUACAAUAAAAUCUCCUGUAAUAUGCUAUUAUUAGUUGCAUCAAUUGCUCCCUCCCAGGUCAUUUCGCUCCUCGUUGCCCCACUAUCCGCUGCGAAAAAUGCAACAAAUUAGGUCAUAUGGCUCAGCUUUGCCAGGUUCUGAGGCCUUGGGAAUGCAUUCCAUCCAUGUGUGGUUUUCAGUCGCCUGGUCAGGGAUUCUUCUAUAUACCUGAUAUGUGUGCUGCUAAGCAUAGUGUUGAAAAAACUAAUAAUGUGGUGAUUACUAUAGUUGAGGGGGAUGCUACUGUGAAAGAUAUUGAGCAGGAAUUCAAUGCUAUAUUUGCCAAGAAAACUGGGAAAAAGAAAUGGUGCUGUACAACCCGCUCUAUUGGCCUUUCUCAAUAUGUGAUGCGAUUCCCUAAUGCUAGUGAAGUAGAGAGAGCAUGUUGUUAUGGGAAACGCUUGCCUUUGAAAGAGGGGACUAUUGUGGUCUGUAUUACUCCUUGGACUGCUUCGAUUGGAGCUAAAGGCAUCAUGGAAAAAUCCAGGGUUAGGGUGCGUAACAUUCCUAUAGAGAAAAGAUGCACUGAACAUAUAGCUUAUGCUAGGGCUCUGGUGGGAAUUACAUUGGAAGUUGAUGAGUCUACUGUCCAUAAACCUGAAUAUGCUAGAAUCCUUCUUGGUUGUAGAGAUGUUGAGAAAAUUCCCCCUUCGGCUGAAGCAAUGCUGGGAGAACAAUAUUAUGAUUUCUUUUAUGAGCUUGAAAAAGUUGUGACUAUGGGUGCUGAGAAAAGCCAAUCUUACACUGCUGUUGAUAGCAGUGCAUCUCCAUCCUUCCCCAAGAAAGCGAGGAUGGAUUCAUAUCCUGCUUCUUCUAUGGGGCAGGGGGAAACGAGUACAUCUAUGAUUGGUAACUUCUCCUCUCAGAAUUAUGAUAAGGGUAUGCAGAGGCUACCUGCCGUAGCUGAAAGUGAAGAAGAAGAGGAAUGUGAUGAAGGUAAGAAUAUGGAGCUACUAAUUGAAACUAUGGCCAGAGACCAUGCAGCUGAGAAAAUGUCUUAUUGUGGCUCUCAAUCUGGUAAAGUAUCGUGUGAGAAUGUUUCUGAUGAACUGGAUGUGGAAGAGAUGACUGAUUCUCCCAGUAAUGAGAUUAGUAUACACUAGCAAAUAUGCCCGUGCGUUGCAACGGAAGAAAAAAUUACACGUUGGUCAAUAUCCGACAUAUGAAUGUCCUCUAUUUUAACACGAUGGCUCACCAUGUUGCCAAUUAUCUUUCUUCUCAUUCUCGUUGAUGAUGGAUGCAAAAUCCACGUGAUCGCAAUGCAUUCAACGUGGUAAAAAAUGGGCUUGUCACUAUACGACACACUUGUCAUUGUCUCGCGCAAGGGAAUGUUUUGAACUUUGAAAACAAAUCUCAUCGACCAUGGACUACUCGCCAACCCCAAGACAUAUAAAGAAUUUCCAAAAUUAAUCAAAUCCUAGAUAUAAAAUACAUCUGAAUAGGAAGAGUUUUUUGAAUCGACAAACAUUCUUUUUAAAUUUAGACAUUUUUUUAAUUCACAAACAUUUGUUUUUUAGACGAACAUUUAUUGAAAUGCAUGAAUAGUUUUUGAUUUCAUGAUGACUCAGAUUCACAA